rnacentral:lncRNA from 1 species
CUCUCUCUGCAGCCCUGAACCUACCACUGGAAAUAGAGUGGGGUGAGAACUAUCUUCCAUAGUUCCCAGUGGGCUCGGCCGCCGACUCUGCCGAUCUCCCCACUAGGUCCAAGUGGGCACAAGUAACAACAGAUAGAUAGAUAGAUAGAUAUGUAUCUGAAAGCUGUAAAUGCAGUAGUAGGAAAACUAUGCUACUAUGCCCAUAAUCAUGAAUAUGAAUGCAUGCAUCAUAUAAUAAAGGUUUGCUACCAUGCUAACAAAUUCGAUCCAUGUUCGAAUAGCAAUGUUCAAUGACAUUAAUAAACCUUUAACCUUUUCAUUUACCCAAUCUGUGGCGAGGCCCUAGGGCUCGCCCAUGACUCACCUUCAAAUCCCAAAGUGGGGAGGGAGCUCCAAGUGCACCCAAGCCCGAGACCGUCUGCGGACGUCCAUGUGGUCCGGACCUCCAAGUGGUCCUAGUCGCGCGACACUCCGGAGUACUCGACGACAAUCCCCUCCAUGUGGGGAUUGGAUGGCUAUACCAUCCUAAACGCAGACUGUGAGCUAGAUCUAUCCUCUCCAAGUGAGGAUACACUGUAACUAGGGUCUACACCCAAUCCAAUCCUCUCCAAGUGAGGAGGCUCUACAACUAGAGUCAAUAACCCAAUCGAAUCCUCUCCAAGUGAGGACGCCCUACACUAGGGUCAACGACUAUCGCGGAAUCAUCGGUUCCCGACAUUCAUGUAAUGCUAUUUAGUUUUCUAAAUUCAUUGUUCACAAGGCAUUUUCUAAGGGAUCCACUUAUCCCUAGGUCCAUCGACCUCUAGUGUUAUUUACACUACAUUAAUGCCACUCGUUAUCAUUCAAUGUUUGGAUGCCACUCGUUUGUUCUUUAACAAUAACACUACUUUCUAUGUCAUCAACACUCCUAUCGGGUUCAUCUCUAUCUUUAGCAUCAUAGGAUCCACCUUCCGACCCAAUCCUCACCUAUCUAGUUACCAAGCGUUCCAAGUACACUAAGUCAUCAAUUAGAAAGCAUAAGGAAUGGAGCUACUAAGCAAUCCUACAAUGCAACAUGAAGAGAUGAGAUUAAAUGCAAUCUAAGACAUAGAAAGGAGUUCGAAAGUUUCGGAUGACACCCCCCACCUUUAAUCGAUGUAGAGGCUUGGAAAAUCCUUCUCGGCGAGCUCUACGAAAAGGCUUUAGCCUUCCUCGCCCGAAUCAACACUAGCCCGGCCCGAUUUUGCCGAGAACUUCACGUCGGUUCGCCGAAUGCCGAAAUCGACUUCGCCCCCGCGUUUUGUGACCUAUCAAUAGGGUUUCCAAGGCUUCAAAUGAGACCAAUCUCAUACUUAUACAAAAACCCCAUUUUGGAGCCCUAGGUUUGCACCUAUAGCAAACCACCCAAUAAAUCCCUAGAUUCUUGGGAUUGAUCUAUUUAGAAGCUAGCUUAGGGUCCAUUUGACCCAAUCCAAGGCAUAAAAUCCAAAAACUCUAAGUUUACAAAGCUAGGGUUUAGUAGCUUACCUCAAGAGCUACACCAAUGGGAAGAGGAGAGGGAGAUGGAGGUGCUCAAAGCCUUCCUCUUGAUCUCCUUCUUCUUCUCCUUCCUUAUCUUCCUUUUUUUUUCCUUCCUCUCCUUCUUAUUCUUCUUCUCCUUCUUUCCUUUCUAGAGAGAGAGAGAGGGAGCAAGAGAGAAAUGAGAGUGAGGGAGAGUGGAAUGAGAGAGUGUGAGGGAGAGAGAGGGCUCAGCCCACUCAAAUAAAAGCCAUUUUGCAUAAAAGCCCCUCAACUUUCCCUCCUGUGCACUGCCCUCACUAGGCAGUUUUCGCGCGGAGGGACCGGUCUCCCCGACUUGGGACCGGUCCCCGAGAGCUUCCCUCGGGCGCACGCGUUCGGGAACCGGUCUCUCCCCGGGAGACCGGUCCUCGGGAGACCGGUCCUCACCUGAGAGACCGGUCCCCAAGAGCUUGAUUUUCAGGACUUAGCCAAUUUUUGGCAUCUCUCGCUGGGACCACGUUCGGGAACCGGUCCCCCCCUACCAGGGACCGGUUGCGUCAUGCAACCCCGCUACAACAAGCCAGGGGAACCGGUCUCUUACUUGCAGAGACCGGUCCCCGAGAGCAACAUCAGCCCAAUGAUGCAAUUUGCCUCAUUUGCUCUCGCGGACUCAACUCCAAGGCACUUUUUGUGCUUUGGACAUUCCCAACUCCCACAAAGGGUAUACUUUUGACAAUUAGUCGAUCCUGGAUGAAGUACAAUCCUCAUAUUUCGAGAAUUCACUUCCUUACAUUACUUUUGUUUAGGUAGUUUUCUCUCUUUUGUGUUUUGUUGAGAGAGAGAGAGAUUUUGUAUCCAUGUAUAAAGACCACCUCUGUAUUACCUUCAGUUUAUGUACUCGGGUUUUGUUAUUGUACUACCUUAUGGUUUUAUUUAGUGGAUCUAGCUCUUUACUUAUUUUCUUUUCCUUGUCAUAGAUACUAGAUGUUGUAUACUCUGAUAUCUCUAGAUCUCUUCGUGUUGUUGCUUUAUUUAUUACCUUAUUGUAGACGCCUUAUAUAUUUUAGACGUAUGGCGGGUCUGGACACGCGCCGGGCGGGCUUCCGCUGUGUCCCGGGGCGUGACAGAUCAUGUCUAUGAUGUUCAUAAUGCUACAAUAAGUGACGAUACAUCUCAUUACUAUUCUAACCAUACAUUAUGCCAAUCAAUAUAAGUGUAACAUACUACCACUAGGGUGUCAAUGCUAACAAUGACUAACAUAAGGUCCACAUAUGCACUAUCAUGCAUAUCCACUAGUCCAACUGAUAUAAAUCAUCUAGUAGUAGUUUUCACAUUACACUUUAGGUUUCGUAGUUCAAUCCUCAUCAUGGAUCUACACAUGUGUAGUCCGGCUUGUGCCGUGCCAAAAAUGGCCCCGUAGUAGUCAACAUUCCCACUCUAGGAAUGAGCCUCCCCCACGGCAUCCCAUUUCAGCGCCCAAUCCCGCACGGGCGAGCUUGUGUCACAUAGGCUAUCUCCGGAGUGCCACCUUGUGGGGAGCGACCCUCACAAGAAUGUGUGAAUGAGCACAAAGGCAAGCAAGCGUGAUCAAUAGUAUCCAACUCUCGGUCAUCAUGUCUAAAAUAUGGAAUAAGUGGCAAUGACCCUAAAGGUCCCAUAUAGUAUUACGAUGUCAAGGUUUAUCAUUUAUUAACCCAAAUGUCACUACAUGACGUUCAUGAUUACUAUGUCAAGUAACAGUCACUAGUUCAAAUGCACACAACCAUUGCCAUUAUCCUAUCUAGGGUAGUUCACUUUUGUCCAAGUCUCAAUGAGAGUUCACACUUAGUCUAUUCCACUAAAGCUAAGGAAGUCACUUUCUUAUGGUGUAUGCAUAGUUACCACUAAUUAUUUAUAAUGCUCAUGAUGCAAGCCAUGCACAUAUAUCUUCCUACCCAUACCUCCACCUUAUGGAGUAAUAACAAUUAUGCGAGUGCUUUCAUUCAAUAAUGCCAUAUGCAAAUAUUCAACUAGAAUGAAUGUUCCAACUUGGUUUCUUAUAGAUCUUACAUGUACUACGUUACCAUGCCCCAACUACUUGCCUACAACAAGUGUGAUAUUGUCAUGCAAAUAUAUGCUAAGUCUCAUUCAUGCACAUGUCUAAGUCAUGUAGUUAUGCUAUCAAUCUCAAGGUCAACACCGUGUUAGUUACUAGGUCACAAUACCCUAUUUUCUUGUCUACACAAGUAUAUUAUUUAAUAUGUAAGAUGAUCACUUUACUAAACCGAUAAGUCGAGAUCCCCUAAGGGUCAUACCAUCAUUCAUGCUCUAACAUGCUUUCUAAGGUUGCAUAAAAGAGAAUUCACCAAAUAGGGCUAAUUCAUGCACAAGCUCACAUAAGAGAUUCUACUACAUAGAGCAUCAAAUUGUCUUUACAUAGCAUAUAUGUAAUGUUUCUCAUAAAUUAUCGCAUGUCAUUUUGAGUAUAAAAAACCAUUUAAUUGGAUCUUAAAACUAAAAGGAGGUUUAGGGGGGAGUUCACCUAUUUUGGUGAGAUCAAACCCAUCGGAAAUACUUCGAACUCUUUCGUAACGCCGAACGAAGUUGUCCCCUAAGAUUCUAGCACCCUAAGAAAAAUUCCAAAGGGGUUAAAAGUUACAAAACAACUACUUCAAAAAUUACACAUACAAGGUGUAAAAUAUACCUUGAGUCAAGAAGAACUUGAUCAAAGCCGAAAUCGAAGCUUGAAAAUUUCAAAUCCAAACUAUAAGAGUGUUCUACACUCAUCAAUUCCAACCCUAAAGCCUCAAAUCAAGAAACCCAAAAUAAAAUUCUAGAUUUCUCAUUUCUAGGUUUUAUCUCAAAAAUUCCACUAAAUCAAGAAUCAAAAUAGGGAAACAUGUUUCUAACCUAUCUAAAAGCUUCAAACAAGACUUGGAAUGAGCUAGGGUUGAAGAUCUCUCCUCCAACAAGCUUUUUACCAAGCUCCAAGCCUUCUCCAAAGGUGCAAAGUCCCCAAAAUGCAAAAUAGAGCAAAGAGGGGAGAUCAAAACCUAAAAUCCCAAGCAAAAAGGGAAGAAAAACUAAGGGAAAAAUAGAGUGGAGCUCACCUCUCCCUUUUCUAGUCGCAGCCCAAAAGCCCUUGUCCAAGGGGUGAGGGUGUAUAUAAGUUAUUGCGACAAAAGCGAAAAGAUCCUUCAAAAACUGCCAGACUGCAGUUUACACUGUGUACCGGUUCACGAAAAAGUGUAUCGUUACAAACUACUGUGCGCGCAAACCCGAGCCUCGGGUUGGCGGAAAACAACCCAUCUAUACCGGUACAAUCAUUAAGGUGUAUCGGUACAAAACCCGUUCCGGUACAACCAUUAAGGUGUACCGGUACACUUUCCUGCAGAGACAAACCCGAGAGCAACCCAAUAAUCUUCACUUUGGAGAUAUUAGUGCUAAGUUUAAACCUCGAUUCUCGAAAUACGAGCCAUAGGUCGGAACACUGUCGACGACCCUCCAGAAAGUCUGGAAAAAACUCAGAUCACAAAUCAAACACUCGAACCUCGCAAUUUGCAAAAGUUUAGUGUGUUACAAUUUGGCUAAAGUCCGGAUUACUUUACCGAAGUUUCGGUAUGUUACAUUCUCCACCCCUUAAAAUUAGUUUCGUCCGCGAAACUAACUUAAUUAACAUCUAGAUUUAUACCUUAAUCCAGAUUCUCGAAGAGAUGGGAAUAAUGCUCUCUUAUUGCACUCUCGAGCUCCCAAGUAGCUUCCCGAUCAUCGUGGUUCUUCCAACAAACUUUAACAUAUGAAAUCUCACGGAUUCCUAGUUUUCUUACUUCUCGAUCGAUGAUGUACGUCGGGAACUCUUCAUAAGUCAUAUCCUCUUGAAUCUCGGACGGUUCAAAUGAGAGAAUAUGCUUGGGAUCGUGAAUAUACUUGCGGAGAUUCGAUACAUGAAACACAUCGUGCACUCCCGCAAGCCUCGGUGGUACUGCUAACUUGUAUGCCACCGUGUCAACACGCUCCAAUAUCUCGAACGGUCCAACGUACCGGGGACUUAGUUUUCCACGGACUCCAAACCGUUUAACUCCCCACAUUGGGAUAUUUUUAGGAGUACGCUGUCUCCAACUGCAAACUCUAUAUCCUUUUUUCGCUUGUUGGCAUAGCUCUUUUGCAAGAAUGCGCCGUAGCAAGCCGUUGGCGGGCAAGGCGAACUUUCUUCUCCGCCUCCCGCACCAUAUCUGGGCCAAGAGUAACUCUCUCGCCCACAUCGCUCCAAUGAAUUUGAGAGCGACACUUCUUUCCAUAAAGGGCCUCGAAUGGCGCCAUCGCGAUAUUUCCUUGAUAACUAUUAUUGUACGCGAACUCCGCCAUCGGUAAAUGAUCAUGCCAUCCGCCCUUGUAGUCAAGUACACACGCUCGAAAUAUGUCCUCAAGUAUUUGUAUCAUCCUCUCCGAUCGACCAUCACUUUGAGGAUGAAAUGCCGUACUAAAAUCGAGCCGUGUGCCCAACGCAUCCUGUAGGCUCCUCCAGAAGUGAGAUAUGACCCUCGGGUCUCGAUCCGAUAUAAUAGACACGGGAACCCCAUGAAGUCUCACUACCUCGUCGAGAUAGACUUGAGCCAUCUUAUCUCCCGACCAUGUAGUAUGAAUCUAUAAAAAGUGCGCCGACUUCGUCAAUCGGUCUACUAUCACCCAAAUUGCAUCGUGUCCGCCUUGAGAUCGAGGCAAUCCGGUCACGAAAUCCAUUGUGAUAUUUUUUCAUUUCCAAACGGGUAUAGGUAGGCUUUGCAACUUUCCUACCGGAAACCGGCGCUCCGCCUUGACUUGUUGGCACGUAAGACAUUCUGCUACAAAUUCCCCAAAGUCUUUCUUCAUGCCCGGCCACUAAUAGUAUACUUUCAAAUCUUGAUACAUCUUGGUGCCGCCGGGGUGAAUACUAUAAGGAGAUUGGUGCGCUUCUUGUAUAAUCGCCUUGCGAAUGUCCUCAUUUUUAGGCACACACCAACGAUUUCUAAACCGGAGUGCGCCGUCGGUCCCAAUGCCAAAAUCAUCUACACUACCGCUCUCAACAUCACCCUGCAUCUUUUGGACAUAAGGAUCAGUAGCUUGUAGAUCUUUAAUCUUCUCCAACAAGGUGGGUUGAACCACCAAUGCCGCAAGUGUUGCUGGCAUUCCUGAAGCUACUACCUCAAGACCAAGUCGUUACAUCUCUUUUUGCAAUAAUGGUUGAGGUGUAAUUGCUGAAGCCAAGUUUUCUCACGAUUUUCUACUAAGUGCAUCGACCACGACAUUUGCCUUCCCGGUUGGUAUAAAAUAGUAACGUUGUAAUCCUUUAAUAGCUCUAACCACCGCCGUUGUCGCAUAUUUAACUCCUUUUGGGUGAACAAGUAUUUAAGGCUCUUGUGAUCCGUAUAGAUCUCACAAUGUUCACCGUACAAGUAAUGCCUCCAUAACUUUAGCGCGAAAAUAACCGCCGCUAGCUCAAGGUCAUGAAUCAGGUAGUUCUUUUCAUAAUUCUUCAAUUGGUGCGAAGCAUAAGCUAUAACUCGCCUAUUUUGCAUCAAGACACACCUGAGACCAACAUAGGAAGCAUCACUGUAUACCACAAUACUCUCCCCCGGCGUCGGUAAGGCAAGCACCUGGGUCGAUGUCAAUCUCUUCUUUAAUUCCUCGAAGCUCCGAUCGUAAUCAUCGCUCCAAACAUACUUAACUCCCUUGUGCGUGAGGCGCGUUAGUGGAGUGGUUAUUUUGGCAAACCCCCCCAUGAACCACCGAUAGUAACCCGCAAGUCCAAGAAAGCUACGGACCUCCGCAACACUUGUCGGGCGAGGCCAAUCUUUAAUUGCCUCUACUUUUUUCGGAUCCACCAAAAUGCCAUCACCCGAAAUCACGUGGCCUAGGAAAGUGACUUAUGAAAGCGAAAACUUGCACUUCUUUAAUUUUGCAUAUAGCUUCUAUUUUCGGAGUAUUUCCAACAUGGUCCUCAAAUGCUCCUCGUGUUCUUCCUCACUCCGUGAAUAAACUAACACGUCGUCAAUAAACACCACGACGCACCGGUCUAGCAACGGUCGAAUGACCCGAUUCAUCAAGUCUAUAAAUGCUGCCGGGGCAUUAGUAAGCCCAAACGGCAUAACCAUGAACUCAUAGUGGCCAUACCGCGUACGGUACGCCGUUUUGUGCACGUCCUGGGGCCGUAUCUUCAACUUAUGAUACCCCGACUGUAAGUCGAUCUUUGAGUACACCCUCGACCCUUGCAAUUGAUCGAACAAAUCAUCAAUCCUCGACAACGGGUACUUAUUUUUAAUUGUCACUUUAUUCAACUCGCUGUAAUCCACGCAGAGUCGUCACUUUAUUCAACUCGCGGUAAUCCACGCAGAGUCGAAAUGUGCAAUCCUUCUUCUUUCCAAAUAGCACCAAAGCUCCCCACGGUGACACGCUCGGCCUCACAAAGCUUUUAUCGAGCAAGUCUUGCAAUUGUGCCUUUAGCUCUCUUAGCUCUGUCGGAGCCAUUCUAUACGGAGCCUUCGAAAUUGGCGCCGCCCCGGGAAUCAAAUCAAUAACGAAUUUGAUCUCCCGGUCCGGUGGCAAUCCCGAUAACUCCGCCGAAAAUACAUCCGAAAACUCGCACGACAACUGAAUAUCACUAAGUUCCGGGUGCUCCUUUUGGGCUUCUACCAUUGUCACCAAAUAGGCUUCACAUCCACCCUUAAUCAUUUUUCUCGCCCUCGUCACCGAUACGGUCACCGCGAAGCGUGAGCUUUUACAUGCCUAAUAUACCAACUCUUCCUGAUUAGGCUCACGAAAUGUGAUCACCUUGCUUUUACAAUCUAUCACGGCAUAAUACUUGGAGAGCCAGUUGAUCCCUAAGAUUACAUCGAAUCCCUACAUUCGCUCUAGCACUAGUAGAUCUAUCAGCAUAAUCCAAUCACCGAUCUGUACUGGACAAGCCAAGCACUCAUCAUGAAUAUGAAACGAAUGCUCUGGAGCAUUUACCCACCAAUAAUCCUGAUUAUACGUGAUCUCCAUGCCAUGAGUUUUUGCAAAUGAUGCACCUAUGAACGAAUGUAAUGCACCUGUGUCGAAUAAAGCUCUAGCUCUAGUGCCUUUAAUCAAAAUUAUACCUGCCACGACAUCAUCUGGUGCUACAGGUUGCUCCUCCAUCUGAGUGGCAAAACCCGCCCACUCGGUGCUCUAGAUGUCUCCGGUUGACGCGAUGCAGAUGAGCGUCCAGCCGACAUCGCUGGGGGCAACCCCGCAAGCUAUCUCAGGGUGGAAGGAACUAAUGCCGCUGUCGGUGCAAACGAUCCCCAACUAGGGCACUCCUAGGCCAUAUGCCCCGGUUGAUCGCACUUGUAACACUUUCCUUCACGCUGCGGGCAGGUCGGCGGUCGAUGCUCACCGCCGCAAAUGAGUAGCGUGUGAGGUGGGUUAAUCAUCGGUUUGACUCCUAUGGGUUAUAUAGUCGACAUGUAUUCGGCACGUGUUUUUGCCUAUCGUAAUUGCUCUAUUCAUUGUUCAGCAUGAUUGAAAUAUGAAUUGGAGCUUAGUAUAUUGACUGUAGAUUCAUACAUAUUGGACUUGGAUAUAACAUAGGAGAAAACCAGUGAUUUGGACCUGUCACCUGCUUAACUACCGGAUUUAGCUUUAGGAGCCAUUGUUAUUUUGUAUCGCCGUAGUAUCAGCGUGGUAGAUACCCCAGAUAGUUUAGAUUACUAUUAUGCUCGUGAUGGGAUGCCAAGCCUAUUUUUACAGUAGUGUUUAGACUAUUCCGGAUUGUUGGAUGCUGUCGAGAUUGACGGUGGACCCAGAUUGCCAUUUUAGUAUCAGAUUAUGCUGAAGGCACGUGACUUGUUAGUUGGUAGACUAGUUGGACCCUGUGUACUUGACUAUAGCCUGCGAGAGCCUGAUUGAGCUCGACAGAGAUACGCUUGCAUACUCGGUUGGGUAGCGCCCAUGAGUGCCACUCCGGAGUCGGGCUUAGUGCUUCUGCGUUGAUGUCGAGGUGUCCUGUUUGGACUUGCUAUCCACUGACUGCUUAGUGUGGAGGUAGCUUUAGCUUCGACAGGAGAGACGGGCGUGUUCACAGUCCCUGGGACGGGUAUGAUUACAGUCCCGAGUGAGAUUGGGUCAGGUAUGACAUCUUCUACAGACUGUUAGUGUUAGAGCAUGAUAGUAUAGUGAUUUUUAGUUGUAGAGUUGUUCCAGCAUUAUUUAGUAUCCCACCUACCUUCUGUAGACUUAGUGGGUGGACCGAUGAUGUUGAGGGUGGCACCCACUAAGGACUACAUGUCUUUACAAUAGUUCUCACGCCCAGUUGCUAUUUGCUUUUGCAGAGCCUUCGGUUCCGGCUGCUGCAUCGUCCGAGAUAGAGCGUGGUAAGGGCGUUGCGAGUUAGAGCCCUACCAAACGAGCCGCCGAGUAGCACCAGCUACAGGUAGUUGUAGUUUUUGACUUCCUAUACAUACUGUUGUUGUAUCUCGCUUGGCGAGCUUUUGUUUACCGGAUGUUGUAUGUAUAGUGAACUUUAUUUUUCUAUCUGGUUAUACUUUGGCUAGCAGCUCUGUAGUGUUCCUGAGCUUUGGAUAGGAUUGGCUUCAAUAUUAGUGACUGGUCGACAUCUCUGGAGAGUGUCGAACUAAGUCGGAGUCAAUUCCGCACGAAUUGGAUGCAGAAUUGGACUCGACGCACUCAAUUAAGCAAAACUGGAGUUUUGCCAGUUUCGGGCGCCCAGAACAUUUUUAGGGUCGCCCAGAAACGAGUGUUGAAUUUAACUGAAACUGGAGGCCAAUUCGGAUCCCAUGUUCCGGGUGCCCAGAUGUGGGUCCGGAAAUUCGACAUCGUGAAUAUCGCUUGCUUCGAUGCGUGGCAGGCGGCAGGUGAGUUCCGCCGGAGCCAUUUACGGGCGCAGCACACCGUGAGCAGAGAGUCCGAGGAGCCCGUUUUGUGCAAGCUGGAUGUUCUGGUCGCCCAAAACAUGGUUCCGGGCGCCCAGAAACGCCCGUUUCUGCAGGGACACUGGAUAGCAGCUUCAGUUCCUGAGGCUUUUUGGAUCAUUCUAACUCACUAUAAAUACUUGGUAAACACCCCUUUGCUGCUCUUUUCCCCCCUUCUUCACAGAGAAGUCUCUUUUAGCAUCUCUACCCUCGGAUUUGCCUCAAAUUGCAUUAAACUUCCAUUGAUCCAGCUUGAUGGAGUGCUGAUUCUGUAGUUCUUCAGCGACGACCUCCAGUGUUUUGGCUCGUGCGCGAUGUAGGAAGGUCGGAUUUCGACGAAACUUGGUUUGCUGGAUUCUAGACUUCCAGAGGAAUCUACGAAGCCCUGAAUGGUAGAUUUUGGUUGAGGUUAGCUUGGUCGAACUGAGGUUUUUCUAGACUACUGUUGGCUUUGAGCUGAAAAUAGAAUUUUUGAGCUUUUCUUGAUGCUAUCUUUGUUGGCAGUGGAAUUUUGGACCUGAGUUUGAUCACCCCUCAGUAUUUGCUGAUUUUGGAACUGUUCUCACCUGAUUUGGAGAUCAUUAGGUGAGUUUUGACAUUGGAAUUGAGAAAUCCUAAGCUUAAGGCUAAAAUUGAUGAAUUUUAUUGGAUUUUGGAUGAAUUGUUAUAUCCAGAUCUUGAUGGGCUUUGUUGCUGGUUUGGAGGAGUUUCCAGCAGUGUUGCUUGUGAUCCGAGACCCUCUUGCUGCCAGGAGUUUCACUAGAGGUGGGUUAUCAUCGGUUUCGCUCCUAAGUGCAUGUUUAGUCGACGUGUAUAGUUCGAUUUUUGUAUAUCAUGCUUUAAUUCAUCGAUUAGCAUCUUGAAUGUAAUAUGAAUGUAGAAGCAUGCUGAAAUGAAUAUUUAUAUUAUACAUGUUGGACUUGAAAUUUGACUUAGGAGAAAACCUGCGUUUUGACCCGUCAUAUGUUUAAACUACCAGAUUUAGCUCUAGGAGCCGAGAUUCGAUUGUAUCGUUGCAGUAUUAGUGCGAUGGAUAUCUGGGGUAGUUUAGAAGGCAUUUACGCUCGUGCUGGGAUGCCGAGCUUAUUUUUCAGCAGAGUUUAGGCUGUUUCGGGUCGUUGGGUGCCGUUCGGGUUAGCGGUGGACCCAGAUUCUUGUUUUGGUCACAGAUUGUGCCGAGGGCACGUGGGUUUGGUUUGUAGGCCUGUUUUUACCCUGUUCACUUGACUUUGGCUAAUUGGAGCCUGUUUGAGCUCGACAUAGAUACGCUGCAUACUCGGUUGGGUAGCGCCCACGAGUGCCACUCCGGAGUUAGGCUUUGUGCUUUCGCGUUGGUGUCGCUCAUGCCGGUUGGACUUACUCUCCACGGACCAGUUAGUGUGGAUAGAGCUGGAUAGUCGCAACUCGGCAGGGACGGGUGUGUUCACAGUCCCAGGGACGGGUAUGUCUACAGUCCCGAUUGGAUUGGGUCAGAUUGGACAUUUCCUACAGUUGGUUAGUGUAGAGCAUGAUAGUGUAGUGUUUGAUAGCGGUAGAUUUUAUUCCUGCAUUUACUACUAUUCUUGCUCCCUUCUAUAGACUUAGUGAGUGGACCGAUGUUGUUUUGGGCGGUACCCACUGAGGACUACUUGUUUUUACAGUAGUUCUCACGCCCUGUUGUUACUUCAUUUUUGCAGAGCCAUCGUCUUCGGCUGCUGCUAUUGCUGAUAAGGAUCGAGGCAAGGGCGUCGCGAGUUAGAGCCCUACCCGACGAGCCGAGCUAGGGGUGCCCUACUACAGGUAGUAGUUUUGUUGGAGUUCAUGUACUUACCUACCUUUAACUCGCCAGUGCGAGUAGUUUUUGUGUAUCUUGGAUUUUGGGGUAUGUAUAUGGAACUCAGUUGGUUUUCUCCGUUUCUCCUAACCAGCUCUAUACUACUGUUUGUAGUAUUGUUUGAUUUACAGAUACAGCUAUCGCUUCGUAUACAGGAAAAAUUCCUUUGUAUACGGCGGAUUUGUCGGCGCGCCCGGGGAACGUGUAAUCCGGGGCGUGACAAGCUCUAUACUACUGGUUGUAGGAUUGUAUAUUUUACAGGUACAACUAUCGCUUUGUAUACAGGAGAAAUUUCUUUGUAUACGGCGGAUUUGUCGGCGUGCCCGGAAAAUGAGUAAUCCGGGGCGUGACAAUAUAUAUAUAUAGUAAAGGUACUAUGCUAUCGGAAGUAUAAAUUAGUUGGUACUUUCGAUUUUUUAGCCCUUGGAUCAAAAAUUAUACGGUUGGGAUGAUAGCAGUCCCCUUAGAGUUGAGUGGUCCCCCUAGGGUUGAGCGGUCCUCAUUGGUCAAUAAUAUUAAUCCAAUGGUUAGAAUAAUCAAUGGAGUUGAUCUAAGGGCUAAAAAAUCAGAAGCACCAACUAGUUUAUAUUUUCGAUAGCUUAGUAGCUCUUCUAUAUAUAAAUAUAUAUAUAUAUAGAGAGAGAGAGAGAGAGAGAGAGAGAGUUGAGCUAGAUCUCUAAAGCACAUGAAGGUAGGUGCUUUUGAAAGAGAUAUUUAGUUCAAUAAUAUAUAUAUUUAUUAUAUACUUAUACUUUAUAUAUAUAUAUAUAUAUAUAUACUAUAGUCGUCUCCGAUACUUUCGAACAAGUACGGGAGGCCCGGUGCUUGUAAGUUGUUUUCGAUGACUAGGACCGUUCCGAUUCGCACGAUCGCUCGUUAGGCUCAUGAUCUUCCUAUUGAGAACUAUCUAGAAUCAAUUUAGAUUUUUUUGACAGUAUUUACUAGCCGAUCAAAGAGUCUAAAAUGAUUUUACGGCGUGUGGAAUUUUUAAUGUGUCAACGGCUUGUUAGAGAGUAUCCAAUAUUACAUGAAUUUAAUAAAAAUUUACUUAAUCAAAGUAGCCGAUAUCAUUUCGAUGUAAAUUUGAAUCUUUUAUCACUUUUUUAUGAGAUUUGUUCAUUUUCUAGCGUUCAUUUUUGGUAACUGUUCCUAGACGCACAAACCGAAAUCAAAAAUAUAUGAAUUUGGUUUUCUAGUAGUUCGCUCCAUGGAUGUAAGUUUUAACAACUGAUCGCUGAAUCGAGAACUGUCCACAUUCAACAAGAUUAACAGAACGGGCCACAGCCCAUCCGCGUUACUUUCGACGCAUAGGAGCCUAGCUCUGUUAUUCUCUAUCUUUCUCUCUCUUAUAUUAUAUAUAUAUAUAUACUAGUUAUAGUCAUGUGCAAUGCCCGUCACAUUUAAUUAAAUUAAAGUUAUAUUUAUAUUUUAAAUUUAAAUAAUUAUUGAUAGUAUUAGUCUAUUUAUCAAUUAAUUUUUUUCUAACUUAAAUUUUUUUAAUUUGUAUCCAAAUUUAAAAAUUUGAAGUAAUUCUAAAUUUUAAAUUAAUGAAUUCAUAUUUAAAUUUAUGAACAAAACUCAAAAUUUGAAGUUAAUUUUGAGUCCAUAUUUGAAUAUAAAUGGUUAUAGAGACAUUGAUUUAUUUAACAUCCCAUCUAUUUUUCAAAUUUGAUAUAUUUUUAAGUUAAUUAAUUAUUUUCAAUUUGAAAUACUAUUUACACACCCAAAUAUUGAAAUUUGAAUUAAUUUCAAAUUUUGAAUAAUUUAAAAUUUAAAGUUGAUUUGAUAAACUUAUUUAAAUCAUUCUAUUUUUCAAACUUAAUUUUCUUUUAGUUAGUUAAUUGAGAGAUAGUGAAUACUAAAUAUUUUCAAUGUGAGUUGCGUAGAAUUUUUUUUUGAUGAGUAUGGAAUAUUUUUUUAUGGGGCACUUGUGAAAAAUAUUCAACAGUAGAUAUUUUUAGAUUGACAUAAAGUUGGAUAAGUAUGAAUUUUUUUUAUAUUCUCGUAAAUGAAAUGCAAUAUUUUUUCCUAUUAAAAAAAGGUCUGUCAACAGCUAUUUUAUUAAUAAUCCCAAAUCAAUAUAAAUUUGUGAAUCACAUUUAUUUACAAAUUUAAAAUUUUAAAUUAUAAAUUCUUAUAUUAUAUUUUAUUAAAAAAUAUCUCAUAUUUUAAAUAUUAGUAGAUAAAAUUUAGAUAAUUUUUAUAUAUUCACCUUUAAAAAAAUAUAAUUAAAUAUUAUAUAUGCGGAAGGUAUUAUGUGAUAGGAUAUUAUGUAGGCCGUAUUACGUGUGAGAAAGAAAAUAUUUAAAAAAUUCUUAAAUUGCAAAUAUUAUUUAUGAUAAAAAAUAGAUAUUACGUGGGCUACGGUUAUUAGAAGAUAAGGUGCGCAUAUAAAAUGUAAAAUUCAAUAUGCACUUUUUGAGGGCAAUUCAGAUAAAAAAAGUGACAGAUACUUAAAUCGUCAACUAUUGGAUUAAAUUCGAAGACUAAGAAUUAAUAUAUUUUAUGAUAAUUUAAAAAUAAAAUAUAAAUUGUACGGUUAUGAUUUAUUCUAUUAAACUUGAAUGAAUGAUAUUGCUAGUAUGCGAUUGGAAUUAUAUUAAUAGGGAGCGAUAUUUUGGGAAAGAAAAAAAUUUUAAAACUUGCUCUUUUAUAAGUAGUAUAUAUAUAUAUAAUAUUUACUAAGGAUCUAGGAUACUUUUACAAGCUAUCCAUCCCCAUCUUAUUGCUAUUCAACUUUUUAGCCAUUGGAGUCUACUUUUGUUUACAAAUAGCCCUUGGAUCAAACACUAUUCCACCUACCACCACCCUACCACCUACCUACCACCCAUCUAUCCAACCUUUCACAUCUUCUCCAUCCAAGGCUAAAAACACACAAGUACCACUGGCUGAUACUUGUAACAAGUAUUCUACCCUACUCAUAACUAUAUAUAUAUAUAUACUGCUCUAUAUAUAAUAUGACUACAUACUACGGUAUACUAUGAUAUAUAUAUAUAUAUCAUAUAUAUAUAUAUAUAUAUUAAUUACUAUAUUAUAGAUCACAGUGGGUUUAACGGAGCCCGAUCCGACGAUUUCGAAGUCGCAAGAUCGAAACGAGCCUGGAGCACGGAAGGCUCCAGUGCUUCCGAUCAUAUAUGGUCUCCGUGCUUCCGAUAAUAAUACUAGAUGUAGGUCUACUAUACCUUAUCGUAAGCACGGAGCCUUUCCGUGCGUUCCAGCUCGUUUCGCAUCUUGCGACUUUCCAAUCCGUCCGAUCGGCCUCCCUUACACACUUUGAUCUAGACGUAUUGAAGUACCCUACGAAAUAAAUUUACUGACUUUCUACGAUAUAUUUGCUUACGUGAACGCAAGGGCGCUCAAAAUCAACGGCUACAAAUAAAAAUCCUUACAUAAAAUGUAAUAUGAUGACACUUAAACAUUUUAACAAAGAGGGUCAUUGAUCUUCGUUCUAUACCUACUGUCAAAAAAUUUUUCUAUCAAAAUUUCACGCCGACUUCUGGAUAUCUUUUAACACCCGUUAAAACUUGCAAACGGCUCACCGCGCCAUGCUACAAUUUGUUGAUUUGAGUCCCAUUCGCAUCACUACGGCAAAUGAUCAAUCCGAAAGAAUAAUAAAUUUAUUUUCUAGUACUCCCAAACUACUCUAAAUCAAGCUUUAACGAGCCGAUCCCGACGAAUUCGAAAGUCGCAAGAUCGACAACCGAGCCGCGAAGCACGUAAGGCUCCGUCGCUUCCGAUUAGCAAUAGUAGCCUCACUCUAUACUAUAUACUAUUAUAUAUAUAUAUAUAUAUAUAGUAUUCUAGCCUAUCAAUCUCAACCCAUACCCGCUAGUGCUCGCGGAUUACACGCAAAUUUGCGGGUAUAGACACCAAUUUUUUCAACCUAAAAAAUUACAGAUAAAAAAUUAUGAAACUAUAUUCGUUUAGUGUCAAAUGAAUCCUCUACCAUUUUAGUAGCAAUAGGAAAUUAAUUUGAAAUACACACAAAUAUCCUCGAAGCCCCUAUGGUGGGCAAAACCCAAGCUUUGCUCGACGCGGUACUCAACCACCACCCACCCUCCUUCCCUCUCCUUUUUCCCCGAGUCCAACAAACGUUUUAAAUGUCCCAAUCAAUUCAUCUCUCUCUCUCUCUCCCUCCAUUACCCCGUCCCACCUCUCAUUUCUCCGCUCCAAAAGUUAAUCAUACUCCACACACCUCCAAAAUAAGAACCAUCCACCUCCUACCCCCUUAAUUCCCCUAUAUUUUUAAAGUUCGUCAAGAACCAUCCACCUCCUACCCCCUUAAUUCCCCUAUAUUUUUAAAGUUCGUCUCUCUCUCUCUCUCUCUCUCUCUCUCUCUCUCUCUCUCACUCUAAUUACUUCUUGCGUUAUAAUACGUUAUGCUUGAGUGAGACUAACUCUUUCUUGGCUCCCAUCUUGCUCUCUCCUUUCUCUUUGUGGACUCUUGUACGUAGUGGUUGUGAGCUCCCCCACCAAACAAGCCAAAUAAUCCCGAUCGAGAAGGCACCCAACUCACUACGUACCUCCUCUUCACUUGGGAAGAAGAAAGAGGGGGAGGGGGAGGGGGAGGGAGAGGAGACGGAUCAAGGUGGAAAUGGGCGGCGAGAGGAAGAAUUCGCUUCUUACUCUCGCCGGGCGGGUGCUGAAUUGUGCGGUGAGCUUUGUCGUGUUCUCCGUACUCGACGUUCUCGAUAUAAUCCUCUGCAUUGUCUACAAGCUCAUCGAUUAUGCCGUUGAGGCCGAGUGGAAGCCGUGCUACUGCUCGGCCUCCAAGGACAUGGUUGCCGGCAGCGGCAGCGGCAGCGGAGGCGGGCCAAAGGUGGUGCGGCUCUGCUCGUCGAAGCUCCAGCUGGAGGACGUCUCCGACACGCUGUACGCGCGUCCUUCAGUCGUCAUGGACGCUGCGAGGAAGGCGGGAACCACCGGCAGCGGCGCAUCAGUUGUCGUGAGCCCGGCACCGGCUGCGCCGACGUUCCGGGUCAGCACUGGUGUUGCGGAGAUGAUCCGAGGGAAGAUCGACCGGCAGCGGCCUACGCGGCCGGUGCCCUGCUGGUCCGACUGCUGCUGUAAGAUCUGCAAUUCGUGGAGCACCGCCGCGACCCCUUCCCAGCUUUACGUUCACGUGGAGGGCCCAAGAGGUAAAUGCUGCAUGCCCGAUCGAGUUAGGAUCCGGCCGGUAAAACGCAAACGGUAGUGUAAAUUUUAAAAACCUUACUUUUACCAACUAUAUAUAUAGUCGAUCGGUUUAGAAAUGAAAAAAAAUGCAUAUUGGUACGUAGUUAAUGAUCAAUGAAUUUGUGAUAUAUAUAUAUAUAUAUAUAUAUAUAUAUAUAUUGAAUCGAGAAAUGUGCACGCACAGUAUUGUCAUGCAUCUUUUUAAGUUUUUAAACACGUACUACUAGUCUGUAUAAUUUAAUAUAUUUAUCAAAAAAGAUUAUUGUUCUCAUUUUUAUCGGGCGAAAUAGCUAGUAGAUAAUAAUUUUUAAAAACAUUUUUAAAAGUGAAAAAUUUUAAUUAUUUUUUAAUUUCAUUUCUUAUUGCGAGAUGUAGUAUUUUGGAUGAAAAAAUCAAGCGUCUUAUCUAAAAGUUUACCAGGAGGUCGAACACGGGCAGCGUGCGUAAUGCAUGUGCUUAAUCCAACUAAACUAAAUGACGUCAAUGUUAUACGUACGUACAUUUUAAUUUGAAGAUUAUGUCGUCAUUAAAAUAUUUAUUUGGUGUUCCGGAGGGAAUAUAUAUAUAUAUAUAUAUAUAUAUAUAUGCUACAGAAAUUUUGCUCAUUAAUUAAUUUGCACAGAUGGUACGCAAUCUCGUAAUAUUAUUAUUUUGCGACUAUUAAUUAAAAUUGCCGAUCGACUGAUGAGUGGGCGUGCAUUAACGAAAUUGAGCAGACGGGGCGGCGGUGCCGGCGACGGAGGACGUGGUGUUCAUCCACGGAUUCAUCUCGUCGUCGACGUUCUGGACGGAGACGGUGUUUCCGGCAUUCAGCGAGCUGACAAAGUCGAGGUACCGCCUCUUCGCGAUCGACCUGCUGGGGUUCGGGCGCAGCCCGAAGCCGACGGACUCGCUGUACACUCUGCGGGAGCACCUGGAGAUGAUCGAGAAGUCGGUGCUGAAGCGGUUCGAGAUCGGGAGAUUCCACCUGGUGGCGCACUCGCUGGGGUCGAUCCUGGCCCUGGCGCUGGCGGUGAAGCACCCGGAGGCGGUGCGGUCGCUGACGCUGGUGGCGCCGCCCUACUUCCCGGUGCCCAAGGGGGAGGAGAGGGCGGCCGGGCAGUAUGUGAUGCGGCAGGUGGCGCCGCGGAGGGUGUGGCCGGCCAUCGCGUUCGGGGCGUCGAUGGCGUGCUGGUACGAGCACGUCAGCAGGACCAUCUGCCUGACCAUCUGCAAGCACCACCGCCUGUGGGAUCUGCUCUUCCGACUGCUCACCCGCAACAGGUAUGUAUGUGUGCUCUCAGCCAAUUACACACACCUAGCUAGCACUUAAUUAGCACUUGCCUUGCCUAAUUCCCUUUCCCUUUCCCUUUCCGUUUCCGUUUCCCUUCCUCUAGCUGUGCGUUGUGUUUGCUCUUUCUUCCGUCUCCAACCGUUUCGGUGGCUCCGCUUUUAUUAUUCUCGCCUCGUAUUUAUUCCUUCCCACGUUAUUGGCUUCUCACCCUCUAUUUUGCGCUCCACGUGCCCGGUCCCACAUAAAUAACAACCUGUUUAAUUCGUCCAACACUAGUGCUGCAGGUACACACAAUAUCGACGGAAGAAAAAUGCUACUAGCUAGCUAGCUAUAUAAGGUUAGAAUCAAAUCAAAUCAAAUCAAAUCAAAUCAAAUCAAAUUCGCAUGGUUGGAUUAAUGUGAUCCCUCUUAUUAAUUAAUAUUUAUUUAUUUUAUUUAUUUAUUUAUCACCUCUUUAAAUAUAAAAAUAUAAUAUAAUUAAAUUCAGCAAUACAACAAUUAACGACGUUUUAAUUAAGAGAGAUAUUGCGGAAAAAUCCAAAGCAUUUUUUCCUUUGUCUCGACGAAUAUUAAUUUAUAUAGAAGAUUCCAAAAUAUUAUUUUUCUAAACUGUUGAUGGGCAAGUUGAGAUGCAUGGUAUAUAAGAUUUUGUUUAAUGUAUACAUGCAAUUUUAAUAUAUAUGCUGUAUAUAUAUAUAUAUAUAUAUAUAUAUAUAUAUAUGAUGUUAGCAGAUAUAUAGCAAUGCGGCAAUAUAUAUAUAUGGUUCCCUUUUCCUGAUUCAAAAGUUAAACGGUGAUAUAUCGAUUGCAUGUCGCUAAUUAAAAACUAGCUAGCUAGCUAGUAUAAUAUAGUUAGUUUAAAUCACCGGCCGAUCGAAUUAGUAAAAUUUUGAAUCAUGUACAUUUUAAGCACCUGUCGACUUUGGCUUUAACAAUCAUCGUAUGAUAUGAUUUUUUGUAGUUAUUGCCAAAUCGAUCAUACUUGUGAGCCGCCCGCUCCGUUUGAAUUAAAUGGUAGACAGCACCAAAUAAUUAAGAAGUUAUUGGAAUUCAUUUGAUAUUUUAUUCUCUCACCCACACAGUAGCAAAUUCGGUUUUCCCCGUGGGGCCACUGAGUAUAUAUAAGGUCUGCUUUAUCUGUUUUGCCUCUGGUUUCAAUGGCAACAAUAAUUACCGUGCUUGAUAAAAAAUAAUUAAAAAUUCUGCUGUAGACAGAAAAUUUUGAGCCUCCAAACAAGAAAUUCCGACUGAUACUUUCGAUUAUAUAUACGCGACACUAACUGAAUGUAAUAGUUAUAUGUAUAUAUUAUUAUAUAUAUAUAUAUAUAUAUAUAUAUAUAUAUAUAUAUAUAUAUAUAUGAAAUAUAAUAGGAAUAAAUCUUUUAAUCAGGUUAUAGCAUUUUAGGUGAUUGUUACGCCCAAAUGGUUAAGAAAAAUUAAACGUGCUAGGGUUAGAAUAAUCAUAGAAUGUGUGACGCCCUAGAAAAUGGGGUAUUACAGUGGGUAUUAGAGCCAAUUACCAGCCGAAAAUAUUAGAUAAAUGUCGGCUGAGCCAAAAUUAUAUAGCGAGCUCAUCGGCAGAUCAUAGUUGUGGGUGGAGCACGACUCCCCACAAGGUCAAACGAGACCCCACAAGGUCAAAUGAGAUGAGUCUCAAAUCGCCUAUUGCUUGUGAAUAUGUUUAAGCCUAUCGAGAACGUCGAUAUAAUAGCACUGAAAUAGUUUUAUAUAUGAGAUAUAAUAAAAUAAGAUCAUUUUACCCGAAUAUAGCAUUUUAGGAGUGGCUAGCUAGGUUAAUUUAAGAGAUUAGGAGAUUUAAGCAUGCUAGGACUAAAUGGGCGACUCAUUGGAAAGUGGGGCAUAAUAGUUGAGGAUUGUGGAUCUAAAGUUUCAAUUUUGUUUGUGUCCAAAAGUUAUAAUUUUUUUCCUUAGAAUUUAUUUUAUUUUAUUUUUUGAGUUUUAAUAUUAAAGAAUAUUUUGGAUGAAGUUAAAAUUAAUAUGUGAUAACAGAUCAAGAACUUUGUAGCAAGAAACAGUUGGAAAGUUCCCUAUUAAAAUUUUAUUAAUUAGUUUUUUAGUUUCCCCCGCCCUUAUUUUGAACGGCAGCUUACGAGCUGUCAGAGCCGCGAAGAAAUCGAUGGCCUGACAUAUAUGGUAGGAGUACGUUACGUUUACUUUGCGUAACGACCUCUGAGGUCCUGCCGUGGGAGUGCGGGACGUCGGGUACGAAAUGCGGGAAACAGCUUCGGGUUUCGUACCACCGCGAUCGAGUAGGAAAACCAAGUCAAAUUUUCCACAUAUAUAUCAGGUAGGUUAAUUUCUAAUUGGGAGACGUUAGAUCGAGGAAAAAUUCUAGAAUGCAACGGGUAUAUUAGUGACGUGGCGUAACAAACCAAUCAAAUUAAUUCUUUUAAAAAUAUAUGUCCCAUCAUGAUUGUAAAAAAGUAUUUUUAUUGUAUUUUUGUUUGAAAAGAAGGAAUGUGAUUGGCUUGUUAUUGAUGACGUGGUGCAAGUGUGACAGUGUAGAAUUCCUCUAGAUCGAGACACGUAAAAAUAAGUAAUAACCGAAAGUAAUGUCAGUGGAAACAUAUAUAUAUAUAUAUAUAUGUAUAUAUAUAUAUAUACACAUAUAUAUAUAUAUACAUAUAUAUAUAUAUAUAUAUAUAUAUAUGAUAUAUAUAUAUAAUAUAGAGUGGGCAUAUAUAUUAUAUAUAGAGUGAAGUGAGGCUACUAUGCUAUCAGAAGUCGGAGCCUUCCGUGCUUCCAGCUAGUUUUUGAUCGUUGCACUUCGAAUUGUCGAUCGGUCUCCGUUAAACUUGAAUUCUAUGAGUAUUUGGGAGUACCUACAAUAAUGCGAUAUGGUGCGUUUGCUUCGUUUAACGGAUAGAAGAGCUUCAAAUCAACUAAAAUUUUUUGUUUAAAAAAUCUUUUUAAACUUUUAAAAUAAAAACGAUCUAGACUCUAGAUCCAAAUAUAAAAAAUUGUAUUAUCACUUUUUUCAAGGAUAGUUAUUUCCAGCCAUUUAUUUUUCUGUUUCACUUGAUGGACAGAGAACAAUAUCUGAAAAUGUGUGUUGAAAUUUGGAUUUCCAGGAUAGUUUAAGUAGUUUUAUGAUCUGUGUUGUAACAGUGCCGAUCAUCAAUUUGGAAGCCCUAUAUCAAAACAAAUCGGUAGCUAACGGCUCGUUUUACUACGAUAGUUAUUCUAGCAAAACCCUAUAUUAUAUAGUAUAUAUAUAUAUAUAGAUGAGAGGAGAGAGAGAGAGAGAUGAGGAGAGGAGACGAUGAGAGAGAGAGAGAGAGAACGAGAGAGAGAGAGAGAGGGAUGGAGGAGGGGAGGGGAAGUUGAGCUGGGAAUACUAUCGGUAGCAAACGCGGCUCCGUGCACCAUUUGUUUUCGAUGAUGGGAGCCUCCAAAUCGACGAUUAGUGCCGUUAAAAAUGCAUCAGUAUUACACUUGAUAUGGUAUUCUGAGAAUCAAAUUUCAUGCUUUUCCGAAUAUUUUCUCUUGUUCACUCAAGUGGGCGGUAUAAUGAGAUGGCUAAAAAUGAAUAUCAUCUACAAAAGUGAUGAUAGGAAUUGUUCUAAUCAAGGAUCGAGGUAGUGAGAUCUUGUUCUAAAUAGUUUAAAGAAUUUUAAAAUAACGAAAAUAUUCAAUUGAUUGGAUAGGUUACACGUAAACGAGAAAACCCUAUAUUUGACCAUUAAAAUUUACAAAUUUUUGAAACCCUUUGAAUCUAUUAGGUCAGAUGGAUGCGUCGGAGAAAGAUUUUGAAAUUAAUUUCGAGAUACUUCAAAGUGGUAUAGAUCAUGAUUCAACCGCCAGGGCUUACCGAUUAUCGAUUUGGAGGAUCUAAUCAGCUGAAAUUUAAAUGGAUGGCACAGGGGAGCCGUUGCUAUCGAUAGAUUCUACCUCAAACUUCUAUAUAUAUAUAUAAAUAUUAUAUAUUAGUCCGGCUAGGGGGGAUACUAUCGGGGAUAGCGCACAAGGAUUUGGUCAUCAAGUUGUUCUGCCGUUUCUUACAUUUACCUUUUUAUCAUUUUAUCCAUUGAUUAUACUAUUCAACGCAACACCCAUCAACAUAGAAGGACCCCAUCCAUCCUAACUAUACAUUUUUUAAUCCAAAAGGACAGCCAAAACUUAAUGUACCAGAUAUGGUACUAUUAAUAGUAUUCCAGCUAGUUAUUAUAUAUAUAUAUAUAUAUAUAUAUAUAUAUAUUAAUAUUAUAUAUAUAUAUAUAUAUAUAUAUAUAUAUAUAUAUAGGCUUGACGCUAGGAAUACUCUCAGAUAGUAAAAUGAUUGCAUAUUUACUAUCGAGUUGUUUUCGAUCAUAGAGCUUCCAAAUUGACGAUCGGCUCCGUUGAACAUGAUCUAUACCACUUGAAGUGUUUAGAAAUCAAAUUUCAAAUCUUUUCGACAUCAUUUGCCUAAUGAUCAAAGCGUUUCAAAAUUUGUAAUUUUAAUGGUGGAUAAGAAACGUUUUCUCGUUUAAUGGUGUAAAGAUAUCCAAAUCAAUUGAAUUUUUGUUAGAAAAUUCUUUAAACUAUUUAAAACAAGAUCUAUACUCUUGAUCUUGAUUACAAGACUCCUAUCAUCAUUUUUUAAAGAAUAUUCAUUUUCAACCAUUCAUUUUCUGUUCACUAGAUGGAUAAAAGAACAAUGUCGAAAGUGCGUGAAAUUUAAUUUCUCGAUAGUUUAAAUGGUUUAGAUCAUAUUUAACGGAGCCGAUCGUCAAUUUGGAAGCUCUAUCAUCGAAAACAACUCGAUAGUAAAACGCUCCGUUUACUAUCGAGAGUAUUCUAGCUCAACUCUAUAUAUAUAUAUAUAUAUAUAUAUAUAUAUAGAUAUAUAUAUAUGCUCACUCAUGAUUAAAUAUUAAAAUAAUCUUUUGAAUAUUUAGACAGUACUGGUUUAUGCCGCUUCGUUAAUUAGGUGCUAGGUGAUCUUUUCUUUUCUUUUCUUAUCUUUUUUUUGAGAAAAAUCUCUUUAUGAAUUACCAAGAUAUAUAAUUGUGCCAAAAUAUUAGUCGAUUUUGUAUUGCACUAAAGUGACGUACAAGGGUUCAAUUACACCAAUCUCCUAAGGCUCUAUUCGAAAGUGGGUUAUUCGGUAUAAAUAUUUUCUUAUGUGAUUGUAAGAAAGAAAUUUAAUUUCUGCUCCUUGAAAGAUUUUAAUAUCUAUGAUUUGGUAGGAUAACGUAUUUCACUUAUGAGAUAUUUAUCUUAUCCGAAAAAAUAAUUUAAAGGCUGAAUAUAAUAUUUAAUUUUAGACAUUUGAUCAUGCUCCUUAUCUACCAAACAUACAAACUUUUUAAAUAAAUUAUGAAGAUAUACUAAAUAAGAUAUUCGUACAUCCAAAUAAUGCCUAACUGUAUGAAUCUCGCCAAUAGUCCUAUUUACUUCUAAGUAAUAUUAGUAGGCAUAGUAGUACUAUGGGCAUGUUUUAUUUCGGGAUAAAGAGCGAGCAAUUAACUAAAGUUAUCCCCUACUAUUCCAUCACACCUUUUAAAGGAAAAAGAAAAAAAACUGAAUAGUUAUUCUGAUUAAACCAUGGUAUUCUAAAUAAUCCAAAAAUAAUCUCAAAAUAAAUUCUCCACAUUUCCAAUGGUAUAGGGCUAUUCUUAAUUAUGAUCGUCUUAGAUUAUUUCGGACAAUUCAAGUAAGAAAAAUGUAUGCCUAUAUCGUAUAUUACAUAUAUAUUUAAGUAUAUUAAUUAUAGAGAUAAUUUAAUGAAUGUUCCGUUACUAUAAUAUCGUUAUACUCUCCUAAAUUUAAUAUUAUUAUAGUGUCCGGCUACUAUGCUAUCGGUAGCACGGAGCGCUUCGUACUAUCAAGUUGUUUUUGAUGAUACGGCUUCCAAAUCGACGGUCGGCUCCGUUAGACUGAUCUACACUAUUGAAAGUAUUUGAAAACUAAAUUUUCGAUUUUUUCGACAUUAUUUGACUAGUGAUCAAAAGAUCUCAAAAUUGACAAUUUUAAUGGUCGAUGUGGUAUGUUUGUGAGUUUAACGGUGUAAAACAAUCCAAAUGCUAUGAAAAUUUUAUAGAAAAUUCUUUCCACUAUUUAGAGUAAGAUCAGUAUAUCUGAUCUUGAAUUUAAAUCUUUUAUCAUCGUUUUUCAUGAGAUUUUUAUUUUUAGCCGUUCAAUUGUAGACUACUUGAUUGAUAGGUAAAUGAUAUCGAAAAAUUAUGAAAUUUAGUUUCUAAAUACUUUCAAUAGUGUAGAUCAAGUCUAACUGAGCCGAUUGUCGAUUUGGAAGCCGCAUCAUCGAAAACAACUUGGUAGCACGGAGCGCCGUGCUACCGAUAGUAUAGCAGCCUAGUUCUAUUAUUAUAUAUUCCUAUUAAAUGGUCAUGAAUAUCAUGAAUAUUUUCCUAAUAGUUAGUCUCUAUCCAAAAAUACCCUUCAUAAUUUUAAAAUGCCAAGUUUACUCUUUAUCCAUUAUUUAUUUAUGCUCCUUAAAUUUUCUAUCUGUUGAUAUUCAAAACGUUUCAAAAUUACUCUCAAAAUUUUUUGCCGAUAAUUUUCACCAUCAUGUAUAAAUCACACCGAUAAUUUAAAUUUGAAUAUAAAAUUUAAAUUUAAAAUUCAAGAUCUAAGUUUAAAUUUUGAAUUUGAAUUUAAAAUUUCAAGUCUAUUGUGAAUAUAAAUUCUAAUUUGAAAUUCAAAUUCAAAAUAUGUUCAUAUUUUGAAUCUGAAUUUCAAACGGAAAGUUUGAAAUUAAAUCUAAAACUAAUUCAAAAUCUAGAUUUGGAAGUAAAAUUAAGGACACAAUCUCUAUUUGAAUUCAAAAUUGAAAUUGAAUUUAAAUUCAAAUCUAGAAUUAUAAUUUAAAUUUAAAAUUUGAAAAAAUUAGGUUUAAAAUUGAAAUUCAAUUCAAAUCUAGAUUUUCACUUUAGAGAAUCUAAGAUUAAAAUUUAAACUAAAGUUUGAAUUAAAAAACUAACUAUAACUUUUGAGACUAUUUAAGGAUAAAAUUUAUAUUUUAAAACUUAAUUAGCAUUAAUUAAAUUAGUCUCAAACUAAGGUUAGGGUAACACUCCAUAGUGUGAGAUAAUGAGGGACGAUUAUAUUGGAAGGUUAUAUGUGAUAUUGUAACACCGUGUGAUGUAAUGUAUACUAUAACAAAUUGUAUUAUAAUAAAAAGAACAAUAAUCUAAUUAUCAUUAUCAUUACUACUGCUACCACACACCACCACCAUUGUAUUAUUAUUACAUGAUUCUACAAAAAAAAAAUAGCAUUUAUGUUGUAAGAUAUAAUGAUAUGUUACAAUUUAUCUUCAACUGUUUACUAACUACAUAUAUAUUUUUCUAUUAGCCCCCACUAUCCUGGAGGUAAAUACUAAAUACAAUUUAAUUAUACGUAGGAAUAAAUAAAAUUGAAAUACACAUAAUUUUACACGUAUUUCUAUCUAUUAUCGUAGAAUAAUUAAGUUUCUCAAAUAACAAUAUUUCUUAGGAAAUUGUCUUAAAACCAAACAUAGUCUAUAGGAAUAAUGUGAACUGUGAAUAAGAAUCUUAAGGAUCUAUAUAUGGAACCAUUCUUACACAUAUAUUCCUCAAAAUUUAAUAUUAAUUUUAUUGCUAAACUGCUAUUUUUGUAAGUUAAUUACUACUAGAUCUACAAUCCAAACUGGAUUGCAAUAGUACAGUACCCUUAUUUAAAGAUCAAAUUAAUUUUCUCUACUAACCCUAGCCCCUGUGUGGAUCAUUGUUCUCUUCAUUGGGAUUUUAGACAGUGAAAAUGAAUUUCCUUUCUUUCGCAAUUCGCAUCGCAUAGAAAUUAAGCAGUAGGAAACUCAUUUUACACUGAUUAAUUAGCCUCGCGGCCCGUGAAAUUUCUCUAUAUAUGGGUUUACGUAGUGGAGUUUUUUUUUUUUUUUUUUUUUUUUUUUGAGAGAUAGGUACGUAGCACGCUACCCGCUUCGUUUAUUUCAUUUAGAAAUAAACUUAGCUAGAAAUGUGAAUCAACUAGAAUUCGAAGUUGGGUCUCGGAUACCAACCACUAAACUCUUUGCCACUUGCUCUAUAUAUGGGUUUACGUAGUGGAGUUAAUUUGAUGAACUAUUUAUUAAUGUGCUGUACAUGGUACAAAAUUAGUUGCAAUCAAUUCUGGUACCAUAUACAACAAAUUAAAAGUUACCUACCUCUUUUAACGAUUGUUGACAAGUUACUUAAUUAGCGUCUUCGAGUCCAGUGAGGAACUUAAAACUAAUUAUAAGAAUGAGUAAACUUUAAGGAAACUAAUUUUUCAUCGUUUACUUGUUUGUAUAACCUAUAUAUAUACAUAGAAUUGCCCAAACUAUAGAAUAACUAAUUAAUUGCUUAGAAGCUAGCUAGCUAUAUGUUGACGAUCUCUUCACCUAACCGAAUAGUAGUGUAGACCCAAAAUAUGUGAUUAAUUUUACGUACAUAAGCAAACUGAAGAGUGUGGGCAUGAAAGAAGACCGGAAGAAACUAAAUAUUACUACGCAAGGUGAUCGAUCGGGGAGAGCUAUAGCUAGCUAGGUGUGAAACUGCAGGGUGGGUUUAUCAUGAAUUUGCAAUUAAUUAAAUCUUGAGCAAUGCUCAUAUAUAUUCUAAGCACACGUACAAGAAAAAAAAAAAGAAAAGGAGAAGAAAUAAAAAAAAAAAAGAGCAAACGUACGGUAGGAGUAAAAUCUUAAAUCUUACUUAUUUAAGGGCCGGGUCAAUAUUUUUUCACUAGUUUUAUUAUCAUUUUUUAAAUAUUAUAAAUUUAAAAUGCGUGUCCUAGUUAAUUUUUAUGUGGACGAGCGCAUAAACUUAAUGGUGCUCUCCUUCCUUUGGGAUGUACGUAUAAUAUUUCUCUUAAAUUUUAGACCUCUAGCUUUGUAGCUAGCAGGCUGUUGAAAAAAAAAAAAAGAAAAAAAAAAAGAGGUUAGAGAAAAACCCCACCCACAGCUAGCCCACAUAGGUAGAUAAAUUAAAACAGAAACAAUGGUAAUUAAUGAGGGAGGUGAAAAGCAAGGGACUUGCUAAAAAAUUGGCCCAACAUAUGGUAAUGAGUAGUAUUAUUAAUUAGUACAUCCACUUCUACGGAGCCCGUUAAAUUGAGCAAGUACGGCUGAAUUCUGACGCUCAAGGUGAAAAUGGUUGUACAUUUAUCUAUUAAUAUUAACGCAUCUCUCACCGUCAAAACCUUUUCUGUCAAUAAUACAAUAGAUAUAGUUAGUUCCUGUUUUAUACAUAUAUAUAUAUAUAUGGAUCAGUACCUAAUCUAUAGGCUUAUACUAAUUUUAGGGUAUGUUCCGUUCGCCCUUCUUUCAUUCUGGAAUCGGAACGAACAAAUUCGUUUGUCCGUGUUUAGUAUGCGAAAUUUUCAUUCCGAUUUUGAUUUUCGGAUGAAUGAAAAUCUCCCAAAUUACCCUUUUUUUAAUCCGGUCUAGAAGGCCGGAUUGAAAAUUGAAUCGUGGCGGAAUGAAUUUGUUAGGAUUAAAUUUACCCUUUUUAAACUUAUUUUUUUAAUUAAAACAUACAUAAUUUUAAGUUUAAAAUUUAUAUUUACAAAUUUUAAUUUUAACUUAAAUUAAAAAUUAAAAUUCAAUCAACCAUUUCGAAUUUAAUUUAUAAAAUUUAAUUUGAAUCCUAAAGUUUUAUUCAAUUUUUAUUCAAAAUUUAAAUUAAAUUCAUGGAUUCAAAUUGAAAUUUAAAUUAUAAUGUUAAGUUUGAAUUUGAAUAUUUCAAAAUUUAGUUUUAUAUUUUGAAUUCUCCGUUCAGUUUUCAAUUUUAAUUUUUUAAAAAAAAUAUAUUUAAAAUUUUGACAUCAUUUUAAAAUUUUUACAUAAAAUUUUAAUACUUAAUUUUCAGUUUGAAUUUACACUGAUAUAUUAUAAAAAUAAAAUUGAUAUAUUAAUUUAAUUAUGUUUCUGAUAUCUAUCCGAAUCAAGCACCAGCAAUGAUUUAUUCCGAUUCCGAUUCAGACGGCGAUCCAAACAGAAUGAGAUAGUGACUCAUUCCGAUUCCGUCUCCAGCUUAUUUUCCCUCCGACUUCGAUACCGAUUCCGACUUCGAACCAAAUACACCCUUAGAGAAAGAAGUCUAUGUACCGGAGUCAAAUUCACAACUACUGCAGUGGAAAGAUUAGAUUGCCGGCACUAUAGUAAUAUUAAAUAAAAAUAGUAGAUUAAUGGUAUUUUUGUAAUAGUAAAUAAAAAUAGCAGAUAAUAGCUAGGAGUAAACAAAAAAUAUUGUUGUUGUUAAUAAGGGAGGCAAAAGACAACCCAAGUUAAUUAGUUGGCCCAUGCACCAAUCCGAAAGAUAAUCAGAUCUAGACAAACAUGCAUUUUGUCUGAAAAAUUGGGUUCUCAUAAUUCACUUUGUACUGAUUAAAAUUCUCUGUUUGGAUUCGGAUAUAAAAAUUCAGACAAACUGGGCCAAUGGUCCGAGUUUGGACUAACAGCUUAAAUAAUAAACUACCUUGAAUUAUAUUAAACUACUGCUUAGUUAUUUCAAGAGAUAUAUGAAUUAAGUAUCUCUAAGAUUAUAAUAUUAAUUAAAUCUAGCUACUACAAUCCUUAAUUUGUAUUUUUUUUUUCUUUUGCAUGUGAAAUGAUUUUAAUCAAAUAAAAAUCGUUAAAAAAAUUAAAUUAAAUUUUUUCCUAAUUCAAUUUGAGAAUUAUCUAAUAAAAGAUAUAAAUAUCGAUCGAGUUGCUGAUCUUUAUGGCGUUGUUUGACUUUAUUUAGAUUUGAAACUAUUUGACUUCAUUGUGGUAUAAGUAAAUAUGAGAAUUUGUGGUUUAUUAAUUUCUAAUUUUAAAAAAAAAAUUGUCAAAAUGGGCGCAAAAUUAGAAAAAAAAAAAUUACAAUAUAAUUUUAUUUGAUUUUUUUUUCAAAAAAUCAAUUUAUAAUAAUUUCAAUUCUAAUGAAAUAAAAUAAAUAUAUAAACUUUAAAUCAAAAUUAUAAAAGCAUUUAAAGUACGUACAAAAGUAUUUUUAAAAUGCAAAAUAUCGGGUUAUUAUUGAAAAAAAAAAAGAAGUGACAGAACUAUAAAAUAAUUCACUCUUCUAUAUACAGUAUAGAUAUUAUUAUUAUUAUUAUUAUUAUUAUAGAUACUAAUAAUAAUAGGUAUCGAUGGAUGGAUGGAUGGAUAGAUGGAUGGAUAUACGUACGUGGCAUGCAUAUAUACAAGUGGGUCCAGAUCCGGUUUUAAACUGGGUCUGAUCAUUAAUUUGAAUAUAUAUAUAUAUAUAUAUAUAGUGUAUAUAGUGUAUGCGCUAGCUAGCUGUGUGAAAAUUUUUUAUUAUCCCUAGCUAGCUAGUAAUUAUCGGACCCCGGCCGGCUUGAUGGGUACGUGGGUCGGUAGGUGAAUUUUUAUUCUUGCACACAAAUUAAUUUUAAGUGUUGAGGUGCCGCGCGGCCAUUAAUUAGCGACGAAUCAUUAAUCCACGAGUGUCGUAAUCAAUGAACAGCAUGCAUGUAGCUAGCUAGGCACGAGCAUAAUUAAUUUGGAGGGUGGAGAUAGUUAUGUAUGCUGCCUACCUGGAUGUGAUGAAUUUGAUUUAUGACAGCUAAGUUCGUUAGGACGGUGGUGGAUCCGCUCGCGAGUAAUUGCACGCGAAUUAACACCUCCCACGACCCAUUUUUUCACCGAAUCGGCCGUUUCGAUCGCGUGCGUCCAUCGAAAACCUAAUUUCUUUCUGAUUCUAUUAAUUGUUCAUAUAUAAGAGACAUCUAUCUUUAUACAAGGGAGAGAUCGGAUAAUUAAUUCGGUACAUGGUAUAUAUAUACAUGGAGACAUCUCUAUAUAGUAUACAAUUAUUAUACGACGAAAUUUCUUUUCUCCGAUCGAUAAUAGUGAAGAUGUAAAUGAAAAUAUUUAUUUAUAUAUGUUGACGCUCCCGCAAACUCAAGACGGGUCAAGCACCACAAGAGUUUGGGCAAAAAGUACUAAUUUCUUUGAAUAGUGUAAGAUUUGGACAAAUGUACUGAGAUUUGGUGAAAAAAUCGGUAAGCUGUUGAACGGACGAAGCAAAUGGUAAUGCUAUCGUGCCAUUAGUAUAAUAACGGCGAAUGAAAUUGCGACUCAUUUUGAUAUGGUUGGUGGGUUCGUGAAAGACAUGUUAUCCGCAAUUUUAAUCGCACUUUGAUUAUCACAAUAUGGUUGUGUUGGAGCAGAGUAGAGGGCACCGAGGUCAUCAAAGAACUAUCCAAGCCAUAUAAUUUCAGAGGUUGCAGAGGGUGCCAGGUGCAAGGAGAACUAAUGACCAGAUACUAGCACGAUGAAGGGCAACAAGUUCCGUAGUCAUCGCAUCCCGCCAUUCAAUAAUGGAAGCGGUAUACGAUACAUUUGUGGUUCCCAGAUAUCAGAAAUAGCUGCAAGAAAUUAAUGUAUGAUAAUACAAAAAAAUGCAGGUAGAGUCAAUAGAACCGACAAAUUAUUUUGGACGACGAGUUCUCGAUACACAAUGGUGGUCGGAUCAUCCGAUGAGGCGAUACUUGUUGGGUCCUCAUGUGGUCCUCAUGUGGUGGUGCUUGUACAACAAGAAAAUCUAUAGAGAAUAGAGCCGGUAAAGGUGAGAAGAAGUAGCAGUUGAGGAAUCAGUUGGUUAGGAUUCUUCGGGAGAAGAAAUAGUGGCUGAUGAAAUGUUGAAGCGAAAAAAGAUCAACUAUAAGCAUUGAAAUGGAAAUGACGUCAGCACUCAAACUAGAUUGAACAUAAUUGGGUAAAUGUUCGAGAAAAGAAUGAUAUCUUGAGAAAUAUGCAUGUGACGAGCAAUAGGAUCAUAACAUCGUUGUGUUCAAGAUAUAGCCUAAGAAAACACGAAUAUAUAAUUUCAGGGAGAGUUUGGUCAUUCAUGUCAGGGUGGGAGAACAAAACAAGUGUACACACACACACGCGUGCGCACACACACACACACCCCGGGGGAUAUGGCAGAUAAGAGACUACAAGGCAUGAUAUAAACUAGACACAUAUGUAGAGAAAGCAUCAACCCAAAAAUGUUAAGGCGUAGACCCAUCUAUAAGAUGAGAGUAAGCAGUUUUAAAGAUGUCUCAUAUCAGUGCUUACGCUCAGCAAUGUCAUUUUGUUGAUGCACAUACAUGAAAGUUGUGGCAAAGUAUCAUGUUUAGCAAGGAGUAGAGGAAACUCAUUCGAAAAUACUCAUGCAUGCUGAUCUCUCCAUUUUUUUUUUGGUUAACGUCGAACCAAGUGGGCCCAAAGAUAACAAUAACAACAUCGAAUGCUCCACUUGUCUUGUCUAGCACUAUAACUUCUAAAAGAAUUGGAAGGUAUAGAUGAGAAGAAGUAGACACUAAUGCAGGUAGAGAAGUUGUAGGAUCACGAGCAGCGAGGACAAUAAGCAUCGCAGAAAUAGAGGAACUUAGAACUUGAAGGCAUGUCUCUGCAGCAAUUAGUUUCGCCAGAGCUGCAUCAAUGGUGAGGAAUGGAGUUCGAUGGAGAAGUUGACCACGCAAGGCUUCAAACUUAGGUAGCAAGUGCAUAAGGAACUAGAAUAAACAUUGUUGAUUGUGCACUUGCUUUUGCUUGAAAGCACACUGACAAGCUGAGCAAGUGCGGCAUAAGGGUAUCCAUAGUUGCUAUUUGAUGCCAAAGUGCCUGCAUAAAGUCAUAGAAAAUCGAAAUUAUGCGCUCCUCUUGAUGAGCUGUGGAGAUUGUGUCAUGCCUUGAGUCCGACCAAUUGGACCCGCUUGGACAUGUACAAUAGAUCCACUGGACAAGACAAGUUUUCCCCUACCCAUACGAAGCAGAAACAUACAGCAACCUGUACAAUGCCAUAUAUGAAAUAGUUAUAAUAGAGCAUUAGCGUAAUAUUUCUAAAUUAAAACCACUGCAAACGUACUCAUUUAAAGUUUACCAAACUUAAUACAUUCCAAAAUAUUACAAUUUUAUUGUUCAUAUAAAAAGGUACAAUCUAAACCACGUACUCACAUGGUCUAACUACUCCACAACGCCCUUACUAUGGUCCCGCACCUCAAAGAUAAUAAUAGGAUCUGAAAAUAGGUAAACAACAAUGGAAUAAGAACUUGGAAUGAGUUCUGAAUAGGUGCAACCACUGAAAGUGGUAUUCUAUACUCACCAAGUUCCAAACGGGCGUUAGUAAUAAGUAAUAAUAAACAACAUCUAUUACCACAAUAGAAAAGUAAAUAAGUAAGAUAUAUCUAUAAUGCCUCUCUAUAUAUAUAAUAUGCAAAAAUGGUUUGCUAUGUUAUUUACUACACAUUCACCUCAUUUUAUUUUCUUAAUUUUAACAAACUUGUUCAUUUGGUUUACUUUUCAAUCUCAGUACACACCUUAUGGAGAGUCAAGGAUGAUCGAACUUCUCUCCAAUCGGUAGGCACUUGGGAUUGAAGGAGAUCAGAUUUUCUCUAGUAUGGCAUCGGGAGUUGAGAGGAUUAGACUUCUCCCUUUAUGACACUUCCGAAAAUCGCAACAUGUUUCAUUGUUACACCUUAAGUUCGUGACUUCUAGGGUUGUCAUAAGGUUUAUUUCCAUAUUGUUUUAUUUUCUAGUUCUAGUUUUGCCUAGAGAUACCACUAUAUUCACAUCUUAGGUUUCAAAAUAGGUUAAACGCCACACUUGUUUUCAACAUUUUAUGGUUCACAUAAUACUCACAUGUACAUCUCAAGUAUUUUCUUGUAGUAUAAUAAAGGGAUAAAAUCCUAUUUUCCUAGGCCAAAUGGCAAUAUACAAUUUUGACUCUCUAGAUCCCCUAGCAUGCAACUAAAAUAUAUUUCAGCUUAUAUAAAACUCAUAAAAUAUGCAUGCAACAAAAAAAUAAUUUAGACAAAGAGGAAACUAAAUCUAUUUUGAUUAUAUUCUUUACCUUUUCUUAGAUCUUCUCUAAGAGAUGCUCUUGAUCUUUUUAGAAUACCAAGAAAAUCUUAAAAAUUAAUUCUAACCAAGUUAGAAUCUAAAAAUUCUAUGUUUAGGAAAAUUCCCAAAAUAAACCAGAAGAUUCCAACUUACCUCUUCUCUUCCUGGUAUAAGAAAUGCGGGUGAAAUGGACUUCUUCUCCCUCCAAGAGCGUUCUCUUGAUGAAUUUGACCUUCUCCAAGCUUUCAAGGAAAUAGAUCUUUAAGUUUCAACAAUAGAGAUUUUAGGGCUCUUUUACUGUAAAGAAAGAGAGAAGAGGAUAGUGAGAGAGGAAGAAAUAUAAGAGAAAUUAGGGCUAACUAAUUAAAAGGAUACUCAUAGACGUGCUAUAAUAGCACAUAAACCCGCCGACAAUCCAAAUUUAUAAAGCCAUAAACCUCGACCUUUUAACUAGGAUUCGGGCACCCACUUGUCCGGACUUUCAGGUGCCGGUCCAAACUUUUAGGAGCCCAAAAGCCUCGUAGCUCCCUUUGGUCAAUUGUCUAGAUGCCCGGCCAAUCCGCCCUAUCCAUAAUACGGGUGCCCAAAAUGGACAUCAGGUGUCCAAUUAUUUAAUCCAUCACACAUGCGCUCUCAGGUUGAACAUCCAAAAGACAUUCGGAUGCCCGCGAGGGACUGCUUGAAAGAUUUUUCGAGCGCCAGAUUUUGGUCAACCGAAUAUUCAAUCCUUCACCUCCCAAGUUCUCGGGUUGGGAGUCCGAAAGAGGGUCUGGAUCCUCUUAAGUAGGAUUUGAAAGGUUAAUUUGCAGGCACCUAUGGGGCCAUUCGGGCACUCUAAAGUCAUCCUUCAAGUGAGUCCCACUGUCCGAAAUGGUUUCGGGUGCUUGGGAUCCUGUUUCGAGCGCUUGGGAUCCUAUUUCGGGCAUCCGAGAAGUUUGAUACUUCAGUUUUCACUUCUUUGAAAAUCAAUUUCAAUAUAAAUUAGUUUAUAUUCGGUCCAAAUUCAAACUACACUCCUUCAAACCCAUUUUAAUUGUGUCUAGCAUGACUUAAUCCGUACUUUGUUAAUUUAGCCAAAAUUCAGUAUGUUACAGAUUUUCUAUACUUAGAAAAUAACCAUAACUAUACUAUCUAUAUAUUUGUCUCUAUAUAUCGAUCAAAGAUAGACCACAUCUGGUAAAUGGUGGAUAGGCUGAUUAAUUGCAUACAAAUGUCGAUAUCCACUUGUAUAAAUAAGCCCAUGUGCCCGUCAAUCAGCAGCAAAUCAGGCUUUAGUUUUGUUUCAUCAACUGUUAGAUUGGUACCAUCAAUAUGACUGGUAAGAUCAAGAGUAUUCAAAUAAUAAUUGAAUACACAUCGACCAUUCAUAAUAGUUGGGCACGAUGAGCUUAAUAUCAAUUUGCACAAUAGUAGGUUAGAGGUGAGAGAACUAUUUUUCUUUACAGGUCUAAGCUAUUAGAGAAUGAUCCUUUAACUAUUAUGUGCUCAAAACAUUUUGGCAUCUAAUGGCAGAUUUUGGCUAAAAGCCAAAUAUGCAAAUUGCUAAAACUAAAUUAAAGAUUAGUAUCAAAAGAUUUUGGCAGAAAAUUAGUCUCAAAAGAUUCGGAGUCAAGACCUUAUGCUUUGAUAUCAUUUAGGACAUUGUUUUCACUUCCAUAUAUACUCAAUAGGGAUUAUCUUAAAUUCUGUUGAAUUCGCAGGUCCAUUCCAAUUUAUGAUGUGAUCCAAAAUUUUAGCAGUAAAAUUAAAAAUUUCACUACUAGAAAAUUAGUCAUUAGUGACAUUUAUUUACGCUGCUAAAAGAUCAACGAAUGCCACUAAAAAUUUUAGCAGCAUAUGACACUAACUGUUGCAUAUGCCAAUGUUGCUAAAAGUAUUAGCAGUAUUUAUAAUGAAUGCUGCCAAUGUAAAUCAAUUAGUGUUAUUAGGAACAUGCCUCUAAUAUAAAUCAAUUAGUGUCAUUCGGAACAUGCCGCUAAAAGGGAUUAAAUGCUAAUUUUAACUUAUUUAUUAGUGGGACAUAAAUUAAUAUAACGCCACAAAUACAAAUAUCUGAUUUUAGGGACUCAAGUUUUAAAAUUUUAAUUUUACCCGCUUCAGCUGGAAAUGUGAAUCAACUAGGAUUCAAACUUGAGACCUCAGUUACCAACCAUCAAGCACUUUGUCACUUACGCUAGGAACUCUCAGUUAUAUAUAUUUAAUUUUUUUUAAAUUUUAAGCCUUCAAUUUUAAAAUUUUAAAAUUUUAAAUUCUAAAUUCUAAAUUUAGAUACUAAAUUUAAAUUUUUAAUUUUCAAAUAUUAAAUUUUAAGUUUCAAAAUUUACAAUUUUAAAUGUGAAAUUUUAAAUUUAAAAAAAAUGUAUAAAUUUAAAAAUUAAAAAUUAAAAAUUUAAAUUUUAGAAUUUAAAAUAGAAAAUAUAAAAUCUUAAAAUUCAAAUGUUAAAUUAUAAGUUUAAUUUUAAAAAUUAUAAGUUUCAAAUAUUUAAACUUUAAUUUCAAAACUUUUAAUUCUAAGUAAAAAUAGGAUAUAUUAAUAAUUAUAUAUUGAUUAGUAACGAUAUUUAGUAAUAAGUACUGCUACUUUAUUACAUUUAGUGGCGUUCAUUAAUUUACGCUGCUAAUUUAUCCUAUUUUGUAACAUUAAUAAUAAAUUACUGCUAAAUUAUUAAAUCUAGCGGCAAUUAUUAAAUAAUGCUGUUAAAUAUAUUAAUUAGCUUAAUUUAAAUAAAUAUUGUGAAGUAAGUGUUGCAGCAUUUAGCAAUAAGUGCUGCUAUUUUGUUACAUUUAGUGUUAUUUUUUAUAAAAUGUUGGAAACUUCAGCGGCAUUCACUAAUUUAUCAAGUACGAAUAAUUGUAAAUUGCUACUAAUUGUAACUUCAGCGGCAUUCAAUAAGUGCUGGUAAUUUAUCCUAUUUGUAACAUUAAUUGUAAAUUGCUGCUAAAUUAUUAAAUCUAGCGGCAAUUAUCAAGUAAUACUGUUAAAUAUAUUAAUUAGCAUGAUUUAAAUAAAUGUUGUGGAGUAAAUGUCACUAAAUCAUGAAUUUGUUAUAGAAUUUUAUGAAACUCCAUGGUAGUAGCACUAGAAGCCCACUACUUGCUUUGUGAGUGCAAGGGCAGCGCUCCUGCAAAUUGGAAUAGUUAAGUCGGGGCCAAAGUUUUUCUAACCCCUAAACUUUUGAUCUACCAAUUUAGUUAAACUUAGACUAGUAUCGUUAAUUCUUUAGAGAUUUAACCGCUUACAUAUGUUGAUAGACCUUACUCCGUGGAUUUGUGGUAUCAUAGAGAGCAUGACAUCUAUUUUGCAGGUUAGGAUAUUUUGAGAGACGUAUGUUUUGUACUCAGCUUUCGAUUAUAAAAAGUUUUGCUUCAUCUUUGUUCAUGGAUUCAGGUCAGUGGUCAAACAAGAUUAUUUUCUUGUGAUUUUUUUUUCUUCUCUAUUUUUUGAUUCUCCGUUUUCUUUUAUCUGAUUUUUAGUCUUUGUUGUUACGAGAUACUUACCUCCCAAAUGUCUCACCUUGAAGCUGUGAAUGCCACUAUAUAGUUAGUACAUAUAGACGAAUAUAUAAGCAACGAGUUGAUUUAGGUAAAUAAUUAUUUAGCCACCACUCCAUCCUUCUUCUUUUCACUUAAUUGGAAUUGCCUUUUAUACUCAAAUUUUGGCAUGUUACAUACUAAAUGUUGAAAACUGAUGUGGAUAAAAUUAAAUUGUCUUAGAACUUCGAAGUAGAAAUUUUUCUUCACAGUGUGGGCCAUUAUUUCAUAAAUUGGAAGAUAAAUUAUGUUUGGCAGUAUGUUUAGGAUAUGAAAUCAAGUCUGCAGGAAAACUUAAUUUAUGUAUGCUUCUAACGGAUGAUUCCAAACUUAAUUUAUGUAUGCUUCUAACGGAUGAUUCCUUACGUGAUGCAGGAUGAGGACUUUCCUAAUUGAGGGUUUCAUGUGCCACACUCAUAAUGCUGCAUGGCACACUCUACACAACAUUAUUUGUGGGAGUGCUAACAAGAUGGAGAAUUAUCUAGACAUUGUCAAGAAUCAGCUAAAGUGCAAUGUAACUAUAUUUCACGGCCGAAAAGAUGAGCUCCUCCCUGUUGAUUGUAGCUAUGCUGUCGGGUCGAAGAUCCCUAGGGCUCGUGUUAAGAUCUAUGAUGAGAAGGACCAUAUCACGGUUGUCGUUGGCCAAGAAAGGGUUUUCGCAAGAGAGCUUGAAGAGAUAUGGAAAAAUGCUAUGCAUUAAAUAAGGAGGAGGAAGAAAGAAUUUAAACCUAAAUGAAAUAACUUCCCUCUCAAUGCACAGCUCAAAGAAAUGUGAUGCAAACAAGUGAUGCAUGUUUGAGCAAAUAUAUAUAUAUCUUUUGUUUCUCUCUUUCGUUCUUUUUUAAAAAAAUUUCUUUCUAAAGUACUUAUGUUUUACCACUAUAUGUGGUUCUAUAUGGUACCCCUUAUUCAAGUGUGAAAUAUGUAAGAUAGAAAUAUUAUGGGGAAAGAUAUAGAUUUCUCUACUUUUCAUAUAUUCUUCUUAUGAACUAUGUAGUAUUGUUAGUUAAUAACUUCAUUAUUAAAUCAUCAAUCUUACUACAUCGAGAGGGCAACAAAUUAUAUAUCACUCCCCGAGGCUGUUUUGUAAAAUAUUUUCUUUGAAAACGAGUGAAAAACAUGCUUUUUCUGAACUAAAAAACUGCCCUGAACAAGCACUGAUUCGCCAUACGAACAAAAUCUUCCCUAUCCAAAUGGAUAGAGUUUUUUCUGUACGCAUGACAUAUAUAGAGACAUAAAGUACAACAUCCAACCAUCAAACACAAUAGUAGCAACAACAACGACAAUAGAGAGAUAACAACAUACUAAUAAAUGAUCGACUAUUAUGAUGAAUAAAUGACUACUGCAGCCUCCAAUCUUCACAUACAACAAGUCACCUCCUACAACCAAAAUCAAAUAACAAUAUAUACAGGCCAGAAGCAAGAAUUAAUAAUACUGAAAAGUGAAGAAAUACAGAUACUAAAACCGACUACAAGGAAGCCACCCAAACUACUAAGAAGAACAAAUCUACAAAUGCUAAAUAUACAAUAACUAAAUAAUUAGGAGUUUGAAACAAAAGGUAUAAUUACAACUCAAAGUUACUGCCAGAGGGACUCAUCUAUCUAAUAGUACCUCAUGCACAGGCGGAUAUGUCACCUCUAGUGUCACCUGUGGAAACUAGGGAAUGAAAAACAUGUACACAUAUUUUUCAGUGCGUACUGCAAGCCGUCGAAGGCAAGCUGUACUCACUAGUAAAUAAGAGAGAGAGAGCGAUAAGGUAAAUACGAUAGGUAUAAACAGGUAUAAUUGAUAUAGUAAAAGUAAAACAAGAAAGAAAUCAUGCGACUAAAUAUUUGAAAUAAUAGCACUAUUGUAAAAAGAUAAGCAGAUGUAUAUAUGCAUCAAGCAAAUGAAUACUUCAAUACUCAGUCCCAAUCCAAACAAAUAUUGUCAUGUUGGUCUAAAGACCUUAGGCAAUGCCACACCUAUGCUUAGUCACUAGGCAUAUAAUCCUUCACGCCCUAGGGUUCGGCUCAUGUCACGCCCCGGGGUCCCUUUUCAGUUUAAAACAAAGCGGAAAAGCGUCUGAAAUUUUUUUUUUUUUUGAAAACCUGACCCCAGAGUAUGCCAGAUCCGCCACAAAUACAGGGAAUCCACUGUUCACACGGACAGAGUCUCCCCUGUAUUUGCACGGCGUCGCACAAGUACAAGAAGUCACCCAAGCACAACCACAACAAAUGAACAUACAAAUAACCAACCGUUAUAUAUAUUCAUACGCCAUUCACCACAGAUUCACAUGUAUGCAUAAAUCCACACCUAUCAGUUAAAAUAUUUCCAACCACAGAAACAGGUUUUGAAAUACUAAGAUGCAAAAUCCACAGAAAGCUUUUUGAAAACUGUUUCCUACACGGAAACCUUUAUUCUUUAAAAAUGCUACCACGAGGGGUAGAAAAUAUUUUACUUUACAAAAUCCAGAAAUCCGUUUAUUACAUUCACGAAAAUCCAUAUUUUCAAAUGUAAUAAAAAAUACUGAACCAUAUAACUAUCUAAGCUAUAACAACUGAAAUAAUAAGGGUAAUAACUAUACCGAAAUAACCUGGGUCGGAAGCUCUAUCGACCGCUACACACGUACCUCACGUCUCGUCCCACUACUCAUCGCCCGCGAUACCUGAAAAAUGGUGGGGGAGGUGAGAACAUGUAAACAUGUCUCCCCUCCCAGUGGGUACCGCAAGCCGAAGAAGGCGAGGAGUACUCACCGGAUCAGGAAGAACUAUACAACAACAUGGGUCAGUGGAAAUAAACAAGGUAAUGAGCAGAUAUACAAUAGCGAUAAACUGAAAGGAAGUAAGAACUAUACUGAAUAAACGGCUACCGCUACUGUAACUGGAACAGAAAGCAUACAUGAAUAUCUACUAUAGUAGCAAGACAACUAUAAAGUAAGAUCUGUAAGUAUGCAUGCAACGACUGCUACUAUAAACAUAUGCGUCAAUGGGACAAUCAGUCCAAAAGUACCCAAUCUGAAACCAAUGCUCUCUUGGUCAGCACCGCAGACCUCAAGCCAAUGCCCUGGAGGUCCGCACCGCAACACCUCCCGACAGUACCACUGCCGCUCUAACAUGCAUAUAACCCCUCUAGGGCUCACGGGUUGUCACCAUUCAACCACUUUUCCGGAAAAGAACACUCCUUGCGGUGGAUCAGACCGCCAGUGUUCGUGAAAUGCGACGAGUAUCGGGCGAUCAAUGCAAUAUGGUCAAUGAUCAACCGUCGGCAACCAGCCGACAAUCCUGCCCCCCAGGGCCUAUCGACCGCAUAGGUCAUCAACUGUAAAGAAGCACAAGAACCGACCACUCAGGUCAACUAGGAUGGGACAACAUCGACAUCCUCUCAAACAUAUGCAAAUACUGACUAAUCAAGUCAACUGGGAUGGAACAACUCAACAUCCUACCCACAGUAUGUAGAUACUGAUCAAUGAGUCAACUACUGUAUAUAUGCAAGAAUCGGUCAACAAGUCAUCUGAGUAUAUGAUCUAGAACUACCGUCGGCCACUAGUCGACAAUCCUACCCCUCAGGGUACACCGACCUCAAAGGUCAUCAAACAACAAGAGUCAAGGAACAAACCGACUAUAUACAGAUAUAAGAUACAAGAACGAAUCAACUAGGUCACCGAUUUCACAUAAAAUCACGAAACCGCUCUACUCUAAACAUGAUACAGGAUAUGCAGAAUAGCUAAGUAGAGCAACAAAGAAAUAUGGUAUAACUACUCUACUCCUACUCAUGAUAUAAAGAGAACAACCGAGUAGAGUGUAACUGAACAACAUGGUGCUAGGCUCAACACUAUAUAUCAAGAUAUAUAUAUGCUAGAUAAUAACGAAAGAGCAAAGGUAAGAAACCAUCACCGAGCGUGCACCACUGUACCGACGUCGGAUCGAAGUACCCACCUGUACAACUGUCGCGCCUGUCUCCUGACUGCAAAAGAACGUCAACAGGACCUAUGGAGGGUCCACUGGGUUAGUGUCUAACCCACAACUAAGAAAUACUACAUCGUAAUCCCGCUAACAAACCCACGGAGAUCAGUUUCCCAAAACCGACUACCGUAACUCGCCGGAAGUCCCAAAAAUCGCACCGGGACUCCGUCGGGACCCACGAACUGUCCCGAAAUGUUCCAACUCAGGAUACGAGUCACCCGCUGACACAAAACACACCAAUUUGGAUGUCUUGGCAGAAAACACAAGUUAACACAACUACACAAUUAUCGCCGGAUAAUUGUACGAACUCGGGUUCCCGAAAGUGUCAAAUUCGACACCGGAACCCACCGUCGCUCACUCGUCAUUUCUGAACUCUCGAAAUGACGCAAGUGGCCAGAAAACAAGGCUCGGCGACUACACAAUAGCUCACGAAGCACCGUCGGAAUAAUUCCGAACCGAACCCGCGUUCUAUCGGCGGAUUUCGCCGAAAAACGCAUCGAAAAUCACUUUUCGAUUUUCGCAAGGGCUUGGGGCCUUGGACGAUCAGUCCAGAGGUUAUCCUUAGCCCAAACGUGCUGCCAACAGCAUCUACAUCGAAGCAAAAGUCCUAAAAGCCCAUACCGAUACAUGAAAUCGCAUCAUUUCAUGUGAUUUCUAGGCUUUUCUGGACCGUGCACGCAAACCAGAGGUCGAUUAAUCCGACCGUCGCACUCGCUGACAGGUUUCAUCAUGUCGGAGGCCGUGCUCACCUUUCGGAGCACUGCCGACCACUGCGGUGCGCGCACGAGCGACACGAAAUCUGUGAAACAGUGCGCACAGCGCGAAGGUCGCGACUAACUUGCUAACCAGGGCAUCUUUGCCGCUGUCGGAGGUGAGCACGAUGUUCAGCACGAACCCUAGAUCAUCGUGCUCACUUCUCGAGGUGUCGGGGAGUCAUCGGAUCACCAGAAAGGUGGCCGGAAAGCUUAAAUUGCAAUGCUGGAACUCAAAAACAGCAUACCGGAGCAGUGGGAGCUAGGGUUGGUCGCCGGCGGCCGGGAGGCGGGCACUCUGGCCGGGGAUGGGAGCAGCCGGUCCGAGAGGUCCGGGGAGGGUGCUGGCCGGCGGCGGGCGGCAACCGGUGGCGCGGCGGAGGAGAUCGACUCCGCCCAUUCCCUCUCGGGUUCGUGCUUCCCGGCGGCGCGGCGGCGGCCGGAGGAGGUCGGGGCGGCUACGGUGCGGCGCCGGAGGCCGAGGGGAAAGUGGUGUACCCCCCGGUGGGCGGCGGCGGCACUUGGAUGUCGAGCGGGCCCGACCUCGGCCCGCACAGGUCUGGGUAGCUGCAGGAGAUCUCAGCGGCGGCCGGCGGCGCGCGGGGACGGCGGGGGACGCGCGCGCCGGGUUGUCGGAGGUCGCCGGGGCCGACUGGAGGGCGGCACGGCCGAAGUAAGGCGAGGACGCAGAGUUCGAGCUGGCUCGGUCUGGGUUGACCCGAGUUGGCCGCAGGGAGCGGGGGUGGAUCCGGUGGCGCUCGGGGGUGGUCGGGGCCGACGAGGGAGGACGACGGAGAUGGACCUCGGCCAGAGGAUGAUGCUCCAAGGGUGAAAGAAGCUUCCUUCGCAGCUUCGGCGAAGUCGGAGGAGAGGGUGGCCGAGAGAGCAAGAGAAGAGGUCGGGGUGGCUUUUCCGGCGGCCGGGGCAGCUCGCCGGCGGCUGGGGCGUGCGCGCGGGUUGGGCAGGGAGAAGGUGGGGCGGCUAGGGCUCGGUUCGGCUGAGGAGAAAGCCAAAAGCUAGGGUUUCCUCACGAAACCCUAGUGCAACUACUAUUUACAUAUGUACAAUUGCAAGAUAGUCCUCCCAGGGAUAAUAUUCUCAGUCAAGUCCCUCACAGCAUGUGUAUUUUACACAUACGCACCUCCAUGUCCGAUCUCAAGCAAUUCGGCACAUAAAAUAUUAGAUCUUUUCGCGAUUUAACCGUUUUGCCAAUUUGACCUCUUAGCGAUAACUUUGCAAUUACCGGAGAUCCGUCCGUCGGAUUUUCGAUCCGACUGUGCCAUCGCGUUCAGUACAACGGGGGCAUCGAAACUACGAUUUCGUUUCAUCCAAUUUGGUCACGGAUUCGCGACGGAACCCAUCUGCUCUCUAAUUAAUCCAUAUAUCGUACGUAUACCAAUGUGUAAACCCAUUAAACCAACUUUCGUAUUAGAAAUUGACUUCCCUACCACUAGUAGGGACCCGAAACAUUCUUCACCCUACUCCAGGUCACAAGCACGGGGCACGAGAAGCUUUAGAAUGCACAGAAAAGCAAAGAGCGGAAACCCUCUUUUCGGUAAAACUCCUUUUUCUCGAAAAUCGUGCAUCAGAUCUGAAAUCCGUCAGUGCCAUUGGUUCCAGAACAGCUGAACCGAUCGAAACGAGCUAUUGGAUCGCUAUGAACGGAGUCCGAUAAGCGCCGAAAGCCAACUCUACUCCGUGGCUUCACCGAAAAACUGGAGUUACUAUUCACUUAAGUGAAAACUAAUAAUCACGUAACUUCUCCGUUCUAGCUCAUUUUCUCCUGAAACUUGACGAGUGCUUAUGUAAUUAAAUUACACACAUAAAUAUCGUCAACAGAGAGUUUAGUUGCACUGUAAAAAUCUCAAUCCUUACAGCUCAACGUGGGUUUGCCAAUAGAUCUGCCGCAUACACAAGAAGCCUUGUGUAUACGAAGCGAUAGUAGUACUUGUAAAGUAUAAAAGAACAACUAUAAGCAAGUAAUAGGAUUGUAAAAAACUGCUAAAACUAAAACAUGAUCCACUGUACAUACAUAAGAUCUAGGGAGUACAAUAAAGAAAUCCAAAAGUACAAACAUCAUCUCUCGCAAUUGUAAAAUAAUAUAUAUAUAUAUAUAUACGUAUAAUAUAUAUAUAGAACGUUCGGCUACUAUGCUUAUCGUAGCACGAGCGCUCCGUGCUACCAAGUUGUUUUCGAUGAUGCGGCUUUCUGAUCGACGAUCGGCUCCGUUAGACUUGAUCGAACACUAUUGAAAGUAUUUGAAACUAAAUUUCAAAUUUUUUCGACAUCAUUUGACUAGUGAUCAAAAGAUCUCAAAAUUGACAAUUUUAAUGGCCGAUGUGGGUGUGUUUGUGAGUUAACGGUGUAAAAAUAAUCCAAAUGCGAUGAAAAAUUUAUAUAAAAAUUCUUUUCACUAUUUAGAGUAAGAUCAGUAUAUCUUUUUUGAAUUAAUCUUUUUAUAUCAUUUUUCUAUGAGAUUUUUAUUUUCAGCCGUUCAAUUUUAGACCUACUUGUUUGAUAGGUAAAUAAUAUUCCGAAAACACACUUAUGAACACUUAUUUCUAAAUACUUUCCCACAUAGUAUAGAUUCAAGCUCAACCGGAGCCGAUCGGUCGACUUCUGGAAGUAGCAUCAUCGAAAACAACUUGGCAGCACGGAGCGCUCCGUACUAUCGAUAGUAUAGUAGCCUAGCUCAUAUAUAUAUAUAUAUAUGUAUGUAUGUAUAUAUGUAUAGCAUAGUACUAAUAUAAUAAUAUAGAUAUAUCUAUAUAUAUAUAUGUAUACAUAUAUACAUACAUAUAAUAUAGAUAUAUGUAUAUAUAUUAUAUAUGUAUUAUAUAUAUAUAUACAUAUAUAUAUUACUAUAUAGAUAUAUUAUAUAUGUAUAUAGAUAUAUUACAUAUAUGUAUAUAGAUAUAUCACAUAGAUAUAUAUAGAUAUAUAUAUAUAUAUACUAUAUAUAUAUAUAUACUGUAUAUAUAUAUAUAGUAUGUUAUAUGAUUAUAUCUAUAUCUAGAUUGUAGGAUAUACAUAUAUAUAUAUAUAUAUAUAGUAUAUACACAAUAUAACAUAUAUAUAUAUAUAUUACAUAUAACAUAUAUAUGUAUAUCUACAUACAUAUAUACUAUAUGUAUAUCUACAUAUAUAUAUAAUAGUAUAUAUAUUAUUGUAUAUCUAACAAUAUAGAUAUAUAUGUAUAUAUAUAUAUAUAUUAUAUAUAUAUAUACUGUAUGUAUAUAGUAUAUACUAUAGAAAUUUAAAUAUUCUGUAUAUUAUAUAUAUAUACAGGAUAUACAUAUAUAUAUAUAUAUGUAUGUAAUAUAUAGUAAUAUAUAGUAUAUCUAUAUAUAUAUAGGGUAGUUAUACCAGAUAUAUAUAACCUACCUAUAAUCAUGUAUAUAUAUAGGUAAUACAUAGGUAGGUUAAUACAUAUAUAAUAUAGUAGAAGGUGGUAUACAAUAUAUUAGGGGGGGGGUAGGUUAUAUAACCUACCUAUAUAUAUAUAUAUAUAUAUUAGUUUAGUAUUAAUAUUUAUAUAUAUAUAAUAUAUAUAUACUAUAUAUAUUUAUAUAAUUAUAUAUUAUAACCUACAAUCUAUGAUAUAUAUAUAACCUCCUAUAUAUGGUUAUAUAUAUAUAUAAUAUGUAUAUAAUAAUAUACCUAAUCUAUAUAUAUAUAUAACCGAGUUGGGCUGGGGUGCUUUCGGAAAGAAGCACGGAGCGCUUCCGUGCUUCCACUUUGUUUUCCGAUGUUCGGACUUUCGAAUCGACGAUCGGCUCCGUUAGAGUUGAUCUACGAGCUAUUUAAAGUACCAAGAAUUAAAUUUUGCGAAUUUUUCGAUAUCAUUUGCCUUAAGUGAUCCGAAGGGGCUUCAAAAUCAAUAAUUUUAACGGCCGUGGUGAGCCAGUUUGCAAGUUUAACGGUAUAGAAAUAUCCCAAAUCCACGGAAAAUUUUGAUAGAAUUCUUUAUUACCAUAUAAAACAAGAUCAAUACUUUUGUGAUCUAAAUUUUAAUGGUCGAUAUCAUCAUAUUUUGGUGAGAUUUUUAUUUUCAGCCGUUAUUUGAGCCACUUCGAUCACUAGGGCAAAUGAUAUCGAAAAAUCGCAAAAUUUAUUUUCUAGAUACUUCAAAUACCUAGAUCAAGUCAUAAACGGAGCCGAUCGUCGAUUUGAAAGUCCCAACAUCGGAAAACAAAGUGGAAGCACGAGCGCUCCGUGGCUUCUGAAAGCACCCCCAGACGCUACUCAUAUUAACUUACCUAUAUAUGUAUAUAGUAUAUAGGUAGGUUAUAUUAUAAUAUAUAUACAUAUAUAGGUAGGUUAGUAUAGUAUAUACUAUAUAGGAGUUAUAUAUUAUAUAUAUAGUAGGUAGGUUAUACAUAUAUAUAUAGUUAGGUAGGUUAUAUUAUAUAUAAUAUAAGAUAUAUAUAUAGGUAGUUAGGUAGAUGUAUAUAUAGUAUAUAUAUGAACUAUAUAUAUAUAACUAUAUUAUAUAUAUAUAGGUUAAGUUAUGUAUAUAUAUAUUAUAUAUAUAUUAUAUAUAUAUAUAUAUAUAUAUAGUAUAUAUAUAGUUAGUAGUAUAUAUGUAUAUAUAUAUAGGGUAGGUAGAUGUAUGUAUAUAGGUAGGUUAUAUAUAUAGUAUAUAUAUAUAUAUAUAUAUAUAUAUAUAUAUAUAUAUAUAUAUAGAUAUAUAUAUAUAUACAUAUAUUAUAAUAUAUAUAUGUAUAUACAUAGUAUAUAUAUAUCUAGUAUAUAUAUAUAAUAUAUAUAUAUAUAUAUAUAUAUAUAUAGUAUAUACUAUAAUAUAUAUAUACAUAUAAUAUAAUAUAUCUAUAUUAUAUAUAGUAUAUAUAAUAGUAGGUAGGUUAUAUACCUGAUAUAUUUAUAACCAACAUAUAUAUUAUAGGUUGUUAUACAUAUAUAUAUAUAGUCAUAACCUACUAUAUAUAGUAGUUUAUAUACUAUAUAGGUAGAUUAUACAUAUAUAUAUAUAGGGGUAGUUAUAUAUAUAUAUAGAGAGUAGUUAUACAGAGUAUAUAGGUAGGUUAUAACCUACCUAUAUAUGUAUAUAUUAUUAUAACCGUACAUCGUAUGUAUAUUAUAACCCACCUAUAUAUGUUAUAUAUAUAUAUGUAUAUUGUAGGUAACUACGUAUAUAUAUAUAUAGCUAUAUAUAUAUAUAUAGUAUAUAUAUAUUAAGUAUACAUAUAGUAUAUAUAUAUAUAACUACAGUCGUAUAAUUAUAUAACCUACCGUAUAGUAUGUAUAGUAUAUAUAGGUAAUACAGAUAAGUAUAUAUAUAUAUAUAUAUAUAUAUAGUAUAUUAGUAUAUAUAUAUAUAUAGGAUUAUAUAGUAGUAUAUAUAUAUAUAAUACGUAUAUAUAGUUAUAUAUAUCUGUAUAACCUACCUAUAUAUAUAUAUGAUAUAUAUAUAUAUAAAUAUAGAUAUACUAUAUAUGUAUAUAGAUAUAUCUAUAUAUAGCAUAUAUAGAUAUAUCUUAUAUAUAUAUACAUAUAUACAUAUGAUAUAUAAUAUAUAUAUACAGUAUAUAUAUAUAUAGUAUAUAUAUAUAUAUAUAAUCUUAUAUGUAUAUAUGUAUAUAUAUAUAGAUAUAGUCUAUAUAUGUACUAUAGUAUAUAUAUGGAGUCGGUACUAUACUAUCGGUAGCACGGAGCGCUCCGUGCUACCAAGUUGUUUUGAUGAUGCGGCUUCCAAAUCAACGAUCGGCUCCGUUAGACGUUGAUCUACACUAUUGAAAGUAUUUGGAAACUAAAUUUCAAGGUUUUUUUUACAUCAUUGACUAGUGAUCAAAAGAUCUCAAAAUUUGACAAUUUUAAUGGGCCUAUGUGGUGUUUGUGAGUUUAACGGCUGUAAAACAAUCCAAAUGCGGAUGAAAAUUUUAUAGAAUUCUUUUCACUAUAUUAGAGAAAGAUCAGCAUAUCUGAUCUUGGAAUUUAAAUCUUUAUCAUCCAUUUUUUAUGGAGCAUUUUUAUUUCAUGCCGUUCAAUUUGUGAGGGCUACUUGUGUUGGUAGGUUAAAUGGUAUUGAAAAAUUAUAAAAUUUAGUUUUCUAAAUACUUUUUUAAAUGAGUGUAGAUCAAGUCUAACGGAGCCCGGAUCGUCGAUUUGGAACCGCAUCAUCGAAAACAACUGGUAGCACGAGCCGCUCCGUUGCUACCGAUAGUAUAGUCAGCCUAGCUUAUAUAUAGUAUAUAUAGGUAUAUAUAUAGUAUAAGUAUAGUAAGUAUAUAUAUAUAUACAUAUAUAUGUAUAUAUAAUAUACAUAUUUAUGUUAUAUAAUAUACAUAUAGUAUGUUAUAUAAUCUAUAUAUGAUACUAUAUGUAGUAUAUUUUGUAUACAUAUAUAUAUGUUAUAUAUGUAUAUACAUAUAAUAUAAUAUAUAUAUGUAUAUUAUAUGUAUAUAUAAUAGUAUAUAUGUAUAUGUAUAUGUAUAUAUAUAUAUAUAUUAUGUAUAGUAUAUAUAUGUAGUAUGUAUAUGUAUAUGGUAUAGCUUAUAUAUAUUAUAUAUAUAGUAUUAUAGUAUAUAUGUAUAUAGAUGGGGUAUACAUUAUAUAUAAUGUAUAUAUAUCAUGAUAUGGUAUGGUACUCCGUGCUGUAUAGUAUAUAUAUAUAUGUAUGGUAUAUAGUAGUAAAUAUAUGUAUGUAUAAUAUAUAUGUAUGUAUAUAUAUAUAUAUGUAUAUAAUAUAUUAUGUAUACAUAACAUAUAUAUAUAGUGGUUAGUACGAGUGUUUGAUUAUUAAGAGUAGAUAGUGUAGAGGUACAUAUGAUUGAUAAUUGUAUAAGAGGGGAUACAGGAUAUAUAUAGUAUGUAUAGUGAUAUAAUAUUNNNNNNNNNNNNNNNNNNNNNNNNNNNNNNNNNNNNNNNNNNNNNNNNNNNNNNNNNNNNNNNNNNNNNNNNNNNNNNNNNNNNNNNNNNNNNNNNNNNNUUAUUUAUAGACUUUAGAAUCAAUCGGAGUCGAAUUAGAAAGUUUUCACGGUUUUACACUGUGUACUGGUACACUUUAAGCUGUUACCGGUUACACGAUGACGGAACGAAAAACCUGACGAAACAGUGAAACCGGUUACAUCCUUGAUGGUCGUACUGGUACACAUUUUGUACCGGUACACUUCUGAUGCUGUACCGGUACACUUUGCAAAUUUCCGCCGUUUCGGGUUUUGCAAAGUCCCAAUGCACUUUCUAAUUCGUUAGACAUUGAUAACAUGAUUCUAAUGUCUACAACUAAGUAUGAAUCACCAUAACAUGAAUUUAUACUUUACCUGAGCAUCGUGAUUCAUAUCGUGAGUUAUUUUCCAACUUUUUCAAAAUCCUGAUUUCUUCGAUCUUCGACGAUAUGCACUGGUUCUUCAAGACUCCGACUCACUUCACGAAACUUGCCAAUACACAAGACUUAACAACCUUAGGCCGGUUGGACUAUAGGAAAUAGGCUCGUGAGAGACGAGGUCUAUUUGACUUGUGAGCGAAAGUAUCAUGAUUGGGUAUCUUGAUAACUCUAUAAAGUUGGAGUUGAUCGAAGUGUAUGACUUCUAACUUCGCGGAGGGUUACGUUGGCGGCCGACAACGUAACAUCGGGAGUUAGUGGUGAAGAACACUUCCUUACUUUCGCAUGAUUUGGGUAUUAUCUUUUGAGCGGGGGUUCGAUAGCGUGGGUUUACUAACUUGCGCUUUUAUGAUGUUGUAGUGACGAUGCCGAUUACACGCUCUCAAUCUACCAGAGCGGAUAAUGCGGCAAACUUGGAGGAGGUCGAGACCUCCGCUACCUCCGGAUCCGGUGAGGUCCGUGAGUUGAGGGGCCAGCUUGCGGCCCUCACUGAUAUGGUGGCACAGCAGACAGAGGCAGCGCGCCGGCAGGAGGCGCGGAUGAAGCGCCUGGAGGACCUUCUUCUGCAACAGGCGGCAGCUUCCAGGGAAACUCAGGCCCCUACACCGCCAGCACCAGUCGUGGACGUCACGCCGAGAGCGCCAUCCCCCGCGCCCAGUUCUUCGUGAGCAGCGCCCAUGGCCGCGCCUCAGGAGGAGGCUAUCGCGGCACCACCUGUGCAGAGGCCCCCAGUUGGAGCAGCUUUCCCUACCUUGGUCGAGGGAGUGGAGCGGGACCGACUCAUGGAGCGCCUCAACGAGUUCAGGAGGUGCAGUCCCCGAAUCUUCGACGGCGAGAAGGUCGACCACUGGAUCGUAGAGAAGUGGUUGAUGCAUAUGGAGAAGCUCUUUCGCGACACCUUCGUGGAGGAGAGGGAUCGGGUUUGGCUCGCCACACACCACCUGGACGGCGAGGCCUAUCGCUGGUGGUUGGAUCUCCAGGAGCACCCCAGCACUGAUUUGGCAGCUAUUACUUGGAAGAGGUUCAAGGAGCUUCUUUUGGCGCAUUACUUCCCGACUAGCGUCAAGAGGAAGAUGGAGCAGGAUUUGCGCAACUUGCGCCAGGGAGACAGGACAGUAGCCGAGUACGAGCGGGAGUUUUCUCGGCUUUUACAUUGCGUGCCUUUCGUCGUGCGGGACGACGAGGACAAGGCCCGCAUCUUCGAGCGAGGGUUGCGACCGUCGAUCUUCCGGUUUGUGCAAUCCUCUAACCUCCAAACCUACCAGGAGGUGGUGGAUCGCGCGCUCAUCGUGGAGAGCGGCACGGCAGAUGUCCAAGAGCGGCGAGAGGCUAUGGACAAGGGUAAGGCCAAGAGGCCUGCGGCUGAGGGUGCGAGCCAGACGCACUCUAGGAGGCCGCCGAAGCAUCCUAGGAGCCAGCAGCGUGGGCGUGGCUCGGCGACUCACCAUGGAGGUUCUGACCGACGCCGACCUCCCCAGUGCGUGAUCUGUGGUGGCCCCCACAUUCCACCGCAGUGCCCGCAGCGAGGAGGGAGGUGUUUCCAGUGUGGCCAGGAGGGCCACUUUCGGACCGAGUGCCCGAGGGGUUCGUCACCGGCACCGUCAUCUGCAUCGGCACCGGCUCUACCAGCCGCCAGCCACGGGACUCCAUCAGCGCAGUACCAGCUCGGGCGGCCACCCGCCCAGCGCCAGAGCGAGGGUUCUCGACAGGCCCCGAGUGGGCGUAUGUAUGCCGCUCAGACCGAGGAGGCGGCAGCAGCCGAGGAUGUGGUCGCAGGUAUCAUUUUUACUUGAUGCAUUAGAGUUCGUGCAUUAUUUGAUACCGGUGCAUCGCAUUCAUUCAUAGAUCGGCUGUUUGCCGAGUUGCAUGGCAUCCCUAUGUUUUCUUUGUUGCAUCCGGGACGUGUAGUUGUCCCUGACCACUCUUUGGAUAUUAGAGAGUAUUGCCCCAGUUGCCCUAUUCGGGUAGGAGAUUGGAUUAUGUCCGUGGACUUGCUAGCCUUGCGCAAGCUGGGGGAGUUUGAUGUGGUCUUAGGCAUGGAUUGGUUGACCAAGUUUUAUGCCACGAUAGAUUGCAAGAAUCGCACGGUUACUUUUAGAGAACCGGGGCAAGUUGAGGUGAUAUUUAGAGGAUGCCAGAGUUCGCUUUUUGCGAUGACGAUCAGCUCGUCUCGAGCUAGGCAACUGAUCAGCAGAGGUUGUGUAGCCUACUUGGCUAGUGUUGUGUUGAGGGGCGAGGGUGAUACCCCGAGGAUUGAGGAUAUUCCGGUGGUACGGGAGUUUUGUGACGUGUUUCCAGCUGAGCUACGGGGCAUGCCACCCGAUAGGGAGAUUGAGUUUGUGGUAGAUCUCAUCCCUGGGACUACUCCAAUCUCGAAAGCGCCCUAUAGGAUGUCACCGGCGGAGCUGAAGGAGCUGAGGGCACAGCUGCAGGAUCUUCUGGAUAAAAGCUUCAUUCGACCGAGCGUCUCGCCUUGGGAAGCACCAGUUUUGUUCGUCAAGAAAAAAGACGGAUCACUUCGCCUAUGCGUGGACUAUCGCGAACUUAAUAAAGUCACGAUUAAGAAUAAGUAUCCGUUGCCGAGGAUCGACGACUUGUUUGAUCAGCUUCAGGGAUCGUGUGUGUAUUCCAAGAUCGAUUUGCAGUCGGGAUACCACCAGUUAAAGAUCAAACCCGAGGAUGUAUCGAAGACGGCUUUUAGAACCCGGUAUGGACAUUAUGAGUUCACUGUUAUGCCGUUCGGGCUUACUAAUGCCCCCGCAGCUUUUAUGGAUCUAAUGAAUCGUGUUUUUAAGCCUUAUCUAGACAGGUUCGUCGUGGUGUUCAUAGACGAUAUUUUGGUUUAUUCCCGAAGUGAUACAGAUCACGAGGAGCAUUUGAGGCUUGUACUUCAAGUACUUCGGGAAAAGGAGCUCUAUGCCAAGCUAAAAAAGUGUGAAUUUUGGCUUCGAGAGGUAGCUUUUCUUGGACAUUUGAUUUCAGGAUAGCUGUGGAUCCUAAGAAGAUUGAAGCAAUCAAGGAUUGGCCGAGACCGACGAGCGUCACGGAGAUACAGAGCUUCCUUGGAUUGGCCGGGUACUACCGGAGAUUUGUUGAGGGGUUCGCCAAGCUGUCUACUCCCCUCACGAGGCUCUUAGGAGAGACCGGUCUCCCAGGGACCGGUCCCUCAGGUGAGGACCGGUUCCCGAACGCGAAAAGUCCCCAGACUGCAGGGAGAGCUCUCGGGGACCGGUCCCUUGUCGGGGAGACCGGUCCCUCUGGGCGAAAACAGCCCAGUGAUAGCAGGUUGAGAGAUGAAAAGUUGAGGGGCUAAAGUAGAUUUUGUUACAAUAGAGGGGCAUAUUAGCCCACUCCCCCUCUCAGCCUCUCAUUUCUCUCUCUCCCUCACUCUCAUUUCUCUCUCGCUCUUUCUCUCUCUAAAAAGGAAAGGAGAAAAAGAAGAACAAGAAGGAGAGGAAGGAAAAGAAGAAGAAGAUAAGGAAGGAGAAGAAGAAGGAGAUCAAGAGGAAGGCUUUGAGCACCUCCAUCUCCCUCUCCUCUUCUCUUUGGUGUAGCUCGUGAGGUAAGCUACUAAACCCUAGCUUCUAGAACUUAGGGUUUUGGGUUUUUAUGCUUUGGAGUGGGUCAAAUGGACCCUAGGCAAGCUUCUAAGUAGAUCAAUCCCUUGAUUCUAGGGUUUUAUCGGUGGGUUGCUAUAUGUGCAACCUAGGGCUCCAAAUGGGGCAUUUUGUAAAGUAUGAGAUUGAUCUCAUUUGAGGCCUUGUAAACCCCAUCGAUAGGUGCCCAAACGCGGGGGCGAAGUCGAUUUCGCGAUUCGUCAAGCGGGCUUAGAGCAAUCGGCGGAUUACGGUCGUUUCGGCGCUAUCUUGGAUUAGGGAAGGCUAAAGCCUUUUCGUAAAGCUCGCCGAGGAGCGUUCUUGAGGCCUCUACGUUGAUAAAAGGUGGGGGGUGUCAUCCCGAAGCUUUCGAACUCCUUUCUAUGUCUUAGAUUGCAUUUAAUCUCAUCUCUUCAUGUUGCAUUGUAGGAUUGCAUAGUAGCUCCAUUCCUUAUGCUUUCUAAAUGAUAACCUAGUGUACUUGGAACGCUUGGUAACUUAGAUAGGUGAGGAUUGGGUCGGAACGUGGAUCCUAUGAUGUAAAAGAAAAGAGGUGAACCCGAUGGGGGUAUUGAUGACAUAGAAGGUAGUGUUAGUGUUAAAGAACACAUGAGUGGCAUCCAAAUGUUAAAUGAUGACGAGUGGCAUUAAUGUAGUGUAUAUGACACUAGAGGUUUGAGAACCUAGGGAUAGGUGGAUCCCUUAGAAAAUGCCUUGUGAACAAUGAAUUUAGAAAACUAAAUAGCAUUGCAUGAAUGUCGGGAACCGAUGAUUCCGCGAUAGUCGUUGACCCUAGUGUAGGGCGUCCUCACUUGGAGAGGAUUCGAUUGGGUUAUUGACUCUAGUUGUAGAGCCUCCUCACUUGGAGAGGAUUGGAUUGGGUGUUGACCCUAGUUACAGUGUAUCCUCACUUGGAGAGGAUAGAUCUAGCUCACAGUCUGCGUUUAGGAUGGUAUAGCCAUCCAAUCCCCACAUGGAGGGGAUUGUCGUCGAGUACUCCGGAGUGUCGCGCGACUAGGACCACUUGGAGGUCCGGACCACAUGGAGGUCCGCAGACGGUCCCGGGCUUGGGUGCACUUGGAGCUCCCUCCCCACUUUGGGAUUGGAAGAUGAGUUAUGGGUGAGCCCUAGGGCCUCGCCACAGAUUGGGUAAAUGAAAGGUUAAAGGUUUAAUAAAUGUCAUUGAACAUAGCUAUUCGAACAUGGAUCGAAUUUGGUAGCAUGGUAGCAAACCUUUAUUAUAUGAUGCAUGCAUUCAUAUUCAUGAUUAUGGGCAUAGUAGCAUAGUUUUCCUACUACUGCAUUUACAGCUUUCAGAUACAUAUCUAUCUAUCUAUCUAUCUGUUGUUACUUGUGCCCACUUGGACCUAGUGGGGAGAUCGGCAGAGUCGGCGGCCGAGCCCACUGGGAACUAUGGAAGAUAGUUCUCACCCCACUCUAUUUUCAGUAGUAGGUACAGGGUUAUCGAGAGAGGACCACGGCAAGGGCAUCGCGCCCGAUCAGUGAGACCGUGGUAGUAUAGUAGCUUUCCUUUUGCAGUAGCACACCUAUGUAUUGCGAGAGAUUCAUGUAGGUGAGGCUGGAGAGUUAUGUAUUUUGAGGAUCAAAUGUAUUCAUUUUGGAAAAUGAUGUAAAUGUAAAGAAUGCAACUAUUGUAAUAGUUAGUAAAGUACUCUCUUUAUUUCACUCGUAUAUCUUGUGGAUUACUUGCUCUUCUUGUUGUUGGCACUGUUUGUGCCCUCGUUGAAUAUGUAUGUUUAGAAUUUAAAGCCCUGGGUAAAUUCUUGUGCACAUUCAUGUUAUUGAGCCUUGGGCGGACAGGAGAGGUGCUGUCCGUUCGGCGGACCGUCGCCACGGCCGAAUCGUGCCAAAUUGGUAGUGGUUUCGGGGCGGGGCGUGACAGCCAGCCUCUCGCCAACUUCACUCCAAUGAAGUGGCGAUCUACACUUCCGUCCAUAAAGUGCCUCGAAGGGUGCCAUCUUGAUGCUUGCUUGAUAACUAUUGUUAUAAGCAAACUCCGCCAUCGGUAGAUGCUGCGACCAUCCUCCCUGGAAGUCAAUCACACAUGCUCGGAGCAUAUCCUCUAAAGUACGAAUGGUGCGCUCCGACUGUACGUCACUCUGAGGGUGGAAAACAGUGCUGAAAUCCAAUCGGGUGCCCAAGGCGUCCUGUAGACUCCUCCAAAAGUGAGACACAAACCGAGUGUCUCGGUCCGAUACUAUCGAUAUAGGCACUCCAUGAAGUCGCACAAUCUCAUCAAGGUACACUUGUGCGAGCUUCUCUCCGGUCCAAGUAGUAUGAAUAGGUAUGAAGUGUGCCGACUUCGUCAACCUAUCCACGAUCACCCAUAUAGCCUCAUGCCCGGCCUGAGAGCGGGGCAAUCCAGUCACGAAAUCCAUGGUGAUCUUCUCCCACUUCCACACGGGAAUAGGCAAACUCUGAAGUUUUUCCGCGGGUAAUCGAUGCUCAGCCUUUACUUGUUGGCAAGUUAGACAACGAGCUACAAACUCGCCAACAUCCUUUUUCAUCCCGGGCCACCAAUAGAAUAACUUUAAGUCCUUGUACAUCUUGGUGCCAUCCGGAUGUACAGCAUACGGUGCUCGGUGUGCUUCAUGAAGAAUGUCCUCUUUGAUUUCCGCAUCCGCCGGUACACAUAACCAUCCGCGAAAACACAUCAAUCCUUGGUCAUCCACAAGGAAAUCGCCGGUGCAACCAUUAACCAUUUUAUCUCUAAUCUUUUGCAACUCCGUAUCGGAAGCUUGCUUCUCUUUAAUCCUAUCCACAAGUGUAGGUUGCACCACCAAAGUCAUCAACCUUAAAGACGUGUCUGGAGUCACUACCUCCAACUCCAACCGCUUCAUAUGCUCGAUCAACUGCGGUUGAGCCACAACAUGCAUCGCUAAGUUUUCUGUCGAUUUCCUACUUAGCGCAUCCGCCACCACGUUAGCCUUGCCCGGGUGGUAUAAAAUUGUCAGGUCGUAAUCCUUGAGCAGUUCCAACUAUCUGUGCUGUCUCAAGCUCAACUCCUUCUGAGUGAACAAGUACUUCAAGCUCUUGUGAUCCGUGUACACUUCACACCGCUCGCCAUAAAGAUAGUGGCGCUAUAACUUCAAUGCGAAGACUACGGCCGCCAACUCCAAAUCAUGCGUCGGGUAGUUCUUUUCAUAUUCCUUUAGUUGGCGCGAAGCAUACGCGAUCACUUUGCCAUCCUGCAUCAACACACAACCCAAUCCAUUAAGUGAAGCAUCACUAUAAACCACAUACCCUGCUCCAGCCAUCGGCAGGGUUAGGAUCGGGGCGGUCGUCAAUCUUUGCUUCGAUUCUUGGAAGCUUCUCUCGCAUGCAUCAUUCCAAAUGAACUUGACUCCUUUAUGCGUGAGACCGGUUCCCGAAAGGGGAACCUUCAGGACUUAGCCAAAUUUAGGCUUCCUCUCGCGGGUGUCGCGCACGGGGACCGGUCCCCUCAGCCAGGGACCGGUCGCAUCGGCCUUGCCCCGCGACCCUCAGCUACGGGGACCGGUCCUUCCCUCUAGGGACCGGUCCCCGAGAGCAAAAAUCUGCUGAGUCCAGAUUUUAUCUAUUUGCUCUCGCGGACUCAACUCCAAAGCACUUUUUGUGUUUUGGGCAUUCUUAACUCCCACAAAGGGUAUUCUCUCGACAGUGAGUCGAUCCUGGACAAAGUACAAUCCUCGUAUUUCGAGAAUUCACUUCCUUACACUGGCAUUAGGCUCUGACGUGCUCCAGGAAGCUGAGGACAAGAUUCGUAUUGCUCGGGAGCGACUUUUGACGGCACAGAGUAGACAUAGGAGCUACGCCGACCGACGACGGUGAGACUUGGAGAUCCAAGUUGGAGACCAUGUUUUCUUAAAGGUCUCGCCGACUAGAGGGAUCAGGAGAUUCAGGAUUCGGGGAAAGUUGAGCUCCCGUUUCAUUGGACCGUAUGAGAUUUUGGAACGUGUAGGUCCGGUAGCGUAUCGACUUGCUCUACCACCGAACCUAUCGGGCGUACACAACGUCUUCCAUGUAUCGGUCCUUCGGAAGUACAUCUUCGACCCGACUCAUGUGUUGGAUGCUACACCUGUGGAGUUGCGGGACGACUUGAGCUUCGAGGAGCAACCAGUGAAGAUCUUGGCUCGCGAGGUUAAGAAACUACGGAAUCGGGACAUUCCGUAUGUAAUGGUCCUUUGGAGCAACCACGAGGAUCGGGAGGCCACGUGGGAGCUAGAGAGCGCGCUGCAGGAGCGCUAUCCCCAUCUCUUACAGAUGGAGUCUUGAGGUAUGUAGUUUGAUUUCGAGUUUCGCGGACGAAACCCCUUUUUAGGAGGGGUGAAUGUAACACACUGGACCUUUGCAAAUUGCGAGGUUCAAGUGUUUGAUCUGUGUUCCGAGCUUUGCCAGAUAUUCUGGAAGGUCGUUGACAGUGUUUUGACCUAUGGCUCGCAUCCCAAGAAUUGAGGUUUAAAGCUUGUACCAAAAUCCAAAAAGAUGGAUUGUUGGUCCUGCUCUCGGGUCAGCCUCAGCCAGGCUGUGUACCGGUACAGCCUUGAUGGUUGUACUGGUACAGGAUUUGUACCGAUACACCUUGAUGAUUGUACCGGUACACUUCGGGUUUUCUACCAACCCGAGGCUCGGGUUGGGCUGUUUCAUAGGAAGUGUACCGGUACACUUUCCCGUGUACCGGUACACUUUCCCGUGUACCGGUACACAAUGCAGACUGGGCUGUUUUCGAGGAGGGGUGUAUUUGCAAUUAUUGCAACCUCUUUAAAUACCACCCCAGCCCCUUUAGCUGCUCUUUUGAGCCCUAGACCUGUGGAGAAAAGGUGAGAACUCUUCCCCUUUGGAUUCUUCUCCAUUUUUGGUGGAUUUUAGUUGGUUUUGAUCUCUCCUUUCUUCUCCUCCUUGUUUUUUGUUGGGUUUCCUCCAUUGUUGAGACUUGGAGCUUGAAGAAGAGCUUGUUUGAGAAGAGAUCUCCAACCCUACUUGGUUUGGAGCUUGGUUUGGGGCAUCUUGUGAGGUUUGUAGCAUGUAUUUCUCUUUUCAUACAUGUUUUAGUGGAUUUGGAUCUUGUAACCCUAGAUUUUGAGAUUUAGGGUUAGAACUAGGAACUUUUGAUUUGAGGCUUCUAGAACCAAAUUGAUUGGUUUAGAAUCAUGGUUUAGGUUGGCUUUGAAGGAUUCUUACUCCCUUUUGGAAAUCAAGAGAGAUUUUCACCAUUUUCGGUGAGUUUUUAGCCCUUUCUUUGAGUUGCUUAAUGUUUGAACUCAUGAAUUGUCGUUUCGAUGUUACUCCCCUAGCCUAUCUCUUAGGGUGCUAGGAGUGAUUAUCGAAGCUUCGUUAGCGUUUCGGACGCCCGCGCGGAGCUUUUGGUGGGUUCGGCUUCAUGUGAAUAGGGGAAAAUUCCUCCUAAGGGGUUAAUAUGUGUUGUAUUAUCAUUUUGCAUGCAUUUUCAUACUAGAUAGGAUUUAUGUGAAUUUUGAAUACUUAAAAUGCAUGUGUUGCGUAUCAUGAAAAUCCUUCUCUACAUAGUAGAGCAUUAUGUGUAGUGUACAUGAAUGUUUAAAGUAUUCUCUUUUUCAAGUUGGAAAAUAUGUUGCAUGUGAGGAAGAUGGUUGAAAUAUGUAUUCAUGAAUAUUAAACUCAUGUUUGAAUAUAGUGAACUAGAAUGCCAUAAAGGGGCACUUGACUUAGCAAAUUGUGAAAUUGCAACAUAGAGACAUAGUGAUAGGCCAUCGAGACAUAUGCUAUAUUUCAUGUUUUAGACAUGACGACAUAGUGAUAGGCCAUUGAGAUAUUUUCCACAUUCCAUGUUUUAGACAUGAUGACUUGGUAUUUGAGACGGACUUUUACGCUUGCUUGCCAUUGUGCUCAUUCACACAUGCUUGUAAGGGUCGCUCCCUACAAGCCGGCACUCCGGAGAUAGCCAUCGCGACAUAUGCUCGCUCGUGCGGGAUUGGGCGCCGAAAUGGAAUGCCGUGGGGGAAGCUCAUUCCUAGAGUGGGGAUGUUGACUACCACGGGGCCAUUAGGCACGGCGCAGGCCAGACAGCCUACGGAUGGGUCUUACAUGAUUGGAACUUAGUGACAGAACAUGCCAUUUGGACUUUGACCAGAAUAGUAAACAAUGACAUUUACUAUUUAGCUUGUGGACAUUAUGUUAGUGAUGCUCGUUUAUAUUCUGUUACAGUAGCUUUAUUACUUAUGCAAUUCAUGCUAAGUAGAGAUAUCAUGUUGUAGUAAGUUACAUGUUUACUUACAUAUCGAUUCUAUUGCUUUUAUUGUUACUUACCUGUUUAGCUCUUUUGGGCCUAGUGGUGCUUUCACUGAAGUCAGUAAUUGCCACUGGGAACUAUUAUUUAAUAGUUCUCACGCCCCCGUUUCUAUGGUUUUAUUUCAGAGCCCUCUACACCGGUGGAGGCACGGGACCGCGGCAAGGGGAUCGCUUAGCUAGCUAGCGAGGAGCGUUUCUUUUGCAUUUUGGUAGUUCGCUCUCCUUUUGUUGUAGUUGAGAGAGAGAGAGUUAUGUUAGUACCUUGUAUAGAGAGACCACCUAUGUAUCUGGUUUAGCAUUUGUACUUUGGAUGUUUAUUGUACUACUUUCUAUUUUUUCUUAGUGGAUUUAGCUCUAUAUUCAUUUCGGUUAUUGUAGCAUCUAGACAUACUUGCUCUGAUACUGCUAGAUGUUUUCUUUAUCUUGCUUUAUUUAUCGUUUUAUUUUAGACGCCUUAUAUGUUUUAGACGUAUGCCGGGUCUGGGCACGUGCCGGGCGGGCUUUCGCUGGGUCCCGGGGCGUGACAACGGAACUCAUAGCAAGUAUGAUCCAUUCUUAACUCUAAGGAUAUAUAGUUCAAUCAUUGUCUUUACACUAACUCUAGUGUUCUUUACAUCACUUUAUUUUGCUAACUCUAGCAAUCAUCGUUCUUUAACUUUACUCGUUCUUUAUGCCAAACUUUGCAUUAACUUUAACCAUUAUCAUUGUUCUUUUCAUCACAUUGAUUCUUUGAUGCCACACACUAACUUUAGUGUCGACUAUAUACUUUCGAAUGCCACUCGAUCUAUGCUCAUUGUGUCUCGUUGUUCUUUUGCCUCACUUGGGUGCUCACAUUUUAUCUCAUGCAUACAUAUAGGGUUAAACAUUCAUAGGGGUUCUCAACCAUCUCAUUAGGCAAAUUGUACUCACAACAUGCAACAUUACAUUAUUCUCAUUACAUAUACCCUACUAUGCUUGCAACAAUGUAUAUAACAUAUACUCAAUUGAAUGACACACUAGGCAUAGAAGGAAGUUCAACGAGUUUGGAUAGCACCACCCACCUCGUAGGUUCUCAAAGGUGCUCCGACGAUUUUCUUGGGAUUUUUAGACACCCGGUUCGCUACCUGCGAGUUAACGAAGCCAAAUUAGGCUUAUUUGGCCGUAACUUUACAUCGGGUUUUCGUAACGUUAAUCCGAGCACACCAACGCGUCGGAAAUACCCCCAAUUAGGUUUCUAGAGGGUCAAUUGCACUUUAGAACCCUCGCAAGCAAAAGCCCCAAUUUUGGUGCCCUAGCUCAUAACAUACAUCAAACCUAGGGUUUGAUCUCAUUGGGAAGCAAAAGAAGCUUCAUUCUACGCUAAAGACUCCACAAAAACCAUCUUUAGUUCAAUCCAAACCCUAGUUUGGAUUCUACCAUGAGAGGGGUUGAAGCUCUCCUUCAAGCUUCACCUUCCACACCAUUCCAUGGUUUUGAUCUCAAAAUGAAGCAAAAGAUAGCUUCAAACACUCUAUAGGUUCUAUUAAAACCAUUUCUAGGUCCAUCCAAACCCUACUUUGAGCUUUACCACUAUUGGGGUUCAAAGCUUACCUUGUAAGCUUUCCUUUUCCAAGCUAGGGAAGGAGAGGAGGGGUCUUCUUCUCUUCCUUGCCUUCUUCUUCACCUUCUUCCUCUUCUUUUCCUUUCUUCUUCUUGUCUUCUUCUUCUCCUUCUUGUCUUCUAGAGAGAGAAAGAGAGAUGAGAGGGGGAGUGUGAGGGAGAGAAUGAGAUGAAAAGCCCUCAAAGCCCCCCACUUAACCAUUGGGUUGCACAAAUGCAAAUAGGCCCCUCAACUUUCACUUUAUUGAACUGCUUGAACUGGGCAGUUUUCGGGUUCGGGGACCGGUCUCCCAACUUGGGACCGGUCCCAGAGAGCUCUCCCGCAGCUCAGUGAGGGCCUUCGCACGAGGCAACCGGUCUCUCCCACAGAGACCGGUCUCUCGGGGACCGGUCUCUCCCCGCAGGGACCGGUUCCCGAGAGCUGGUUUUCUGGGACUUAGCCGAUUUGCAGCCUUUCUCAUUUCUCACGCGUUCGGGGACCGAUCUCUACCACCAGGGACCGGUCCCCGAGAGCUCAAAAACUGUAGUUUGCAGAUUUUUGAUUCUUUAGCUCUCGAAAACCUCCCACAACGCAUUUUUGAUCAUUUUAACACCUUCGGACUUUCCGAAGUGUACCACCCUCGCACUUUGGUCAAUUUGACUAAAGUUCGAUAUUUAUUUUUCAAAUUUUCGGUAUAUUACAUUCUCCACCCUUAAAAUAAUUUCGUCCGCGAAAUUACGCAUACCUUAACUCGUCGAUUCAAAUAGAUGUGGAUACUCUCUCCGCAUGAUCUCCUCGAGCUCCUAAGUGGCUUCUCGCGCCGCAUGGUUGCUCCAUUGGACCUUCACAUAUGGAAUUCUGCGACUCCGCAGCUUCCUUUCUUCUCGAUCGAGGAUGCACACCGGGUACUCCUCGUAAGACAUAUCUUCACGUAGCUCCACGGGCUCGUACUCCAAUAUAUGUGUCGAGUUUCGAAUAUACUUUCGGAGAUUUGACACAUGAAAAAUAUUGUGAACUCCUGCGAGUCUCGAUGGUAGUGCGAGCUUGUAUGCUACCGCACCCACACGCUCCAAUAUCUCAAACGGUCCGACAUAACAGGGACUUAGCUUCUCGUGGACCCCAAACCGCUUUACUCCUCGCAUCGGCGAUACUCUCAAAAAUACGCGGUCUCCAACCGCGAACUCUAAAUCUUUUCUUCUCUUGUCGGCAUAACUCUUUUGCCGAGAUUGUGCCGCCGCUAACCGUUGACGGGCAAGGCGAACUGUAAUGCAUUGGAAAAUUGACCUUGAGCUAAUUGUAAUCAAGUUGAUCACAAUGAUGUCAAAAUAGAAAUUAAGUGUUAAUGAACUUAAUUAGUAGAUUGAGAACAACAAUUGACUUAUUUUGGAACUGUGUAAGUGGGCUCGAAGUGAAUCGGAAGUGCCAAGUGUCACGCCCCGCCCCGAAACCACUACCAAUUUGGCACGGUUCGGUCGCGGCGACAGACCGCCGAACGGACAGCACCUCCCCUGUCCACCCAAGGCUCAACAACAGGAAUGUGUACAAGGAUUUACCCAGGACUUUAAAUUCUAAACAUACACAUUCAACGAGGGCACAAACAGUGCCAACAACGAGAAGAGCAAGUAAUCCACAAGAUAUAGUAUGUGAAAUAAAGAGAGUACUUUACUAACUAUUACAAUAGUUACAUUCUUUACAUUUACAUCAUUCUCCAAAAUGAAUACAUUUGAUCCUCAAAAUACAUAGCUCUCCAACCUCACCAUCAUGAAUCUCUCUCAAUACAUAGGUGUGCUAAUGCAAAAAGGGAAGCUACUAUACUACCACGGUCUCACUGAUCGGGCGCGAUGCCCUUGCCGCGGUCCUCUCUCGGCAACCCUGUACCUACCACUGGAAAUGGGAUGGGGUGAGAACUAUAUUCCAUAGAUUCCCAGUGGUCGGCCGCCGACUCUGCUGAUUCUCCCACUAGUGUCAAGUUGGGCAUCAGAGCAACAAACAGGUAGAUAGAUAGAUAGAUAUCUGAAAGUUUGUAAUAUGCAAGUUAGUAGCGAAAACUAUGCUUACAUAUGCCCAUAAUCAUGUAAUGUGGAUGCACUGCAUCUAAUAAAUAAGUUUUUACCAGGGCUAACAGAUGUCAUAUCCAUGUUCGAAUAGCUUAGUGUUCAAUGACAUUUAUUAACAACCUUAACUCUUUAUUUACCCAAUCUGUGGCGAGGCCUUAGGGCUGGCCAAUUACUCAGUCUUCAAAUCCCAAAGUGUGGGAAGUGGAGCUCCAAGUGACACCAGCCCGGGACCGUCUGGGGACUCAUUGGUCCGGACCUCCAAGUGGUCCUAGUUCGCGGUGACACUCGCGGACACUCGACGACAAUCCCUCCUAUGUGGGGAAUUGGAUGGCUAUACACCCUAACGCGACUGUGAGCCUAAUCUAUCCUCGAGUGAGGGAUACACUUGACAACUAGGUCAACACCAAGUCGCAGAUCUCUCAAGUAAUGGAGGCUCUACAACAGCUAGCGCUCACAUAAUCCAACUCGAAUCCUCUCCAAGUGAGGAAGCACUCUAUAACUAGAGUCAACAUCUCUCGCGGGAUCAUUUGUUCCCGACAUCCAUGCAAUGCUAUUUAGUUUUCUAAAUUCAUUGUUCACAAGGCAUUUUCUAAGGGAUCCACCUAUCCCUAGGUCCAUCGACCUCUAGUGUCAUUUACACUACAUUAAUGCCACUCGUCAUCAUUUAACAUUUGGAUGCCACUCGUGUGUUCUUUAACACUAAACACUACUUUCUAUGUCAUCAAUACCCCCAUCGGGUUCACCUCUUUUCUUUUACAUCAUAGGAUCCACGUUCCGACCCAAUCCUCACCUAUCUAAGUUACCAAGCGUUCCAAGUACACUAGGUUAUCAUUUAGAAAGCAUAAGGAAUGGAGCUACUAUGCAAUCCUACAAUGCAACAUGAAGAGAUGAGAUCAAAUGCAAUCUAAGACAUAGAAAGGAGUUCGAAAGCUUCGGGAUGACACCCCCCAC